UGAACAUAGCUGGUUCUUGUUCUUCUUGCUACGUAACAACAGGUGAAACCACUGUAUGGAAGAAUGAAGCUUUUUGAGUCAAUACCGUUCUUGUCUAACUCCAAAUUUCACAUGUCGCCCCCUCUUGUAGGUUCAUUCUCCAGGUCUGCAGUGAACUACAACGCAGGAGCACAAACAGCAGUGUCCAAUAUUAUACUGGCUGCAGCUGUGCUAGUGACUCUACUCUUUCUGAUGCCAUUGUUUUACUAUACACCAAAUGUAAUCCUGGCAGCCAUCAUCAUAACAGCUGUGAUUGGACUCAUCGAUUACCAGGCUGCAUUCCGCCUCUGGAAGGUUGACAAACUCGACUUCCUGGCUUGUCUAUGCUCAUUCUUUGGUGUUCUUUUCAUUUCAGUUCCUCUAGGCCUUGCCAUUGCAGUAAGUACCCGUUUCUACCUUUCUUUGUAAAAACCUCCUUUUAACUCAACAUCAUCAUGCAUCUAACACUACGAGGGCCAAAAUUUUGAUCAGGUUGGAGUAUCAGUGUUCAAAGUUCUGCUGCAUGUUACGAGACCAAACACUGUAGUUCUGGGUAACCUACCUGGAACUCAUAUAUACCAGAACAUGAACAGAUAUAGAGAAGCAUCAAGAGUUGCAUCGUUCCUCAUACUCGCUGUUGAAUCCCCAAUCUACUUUGCAAAUUGUACAUACCUCCAAGAAAGGUUUGUUCUUGUUCUCUCCCCACCGGAUGUUCUCUAACAAUGAUUUGGCUGAAAUGAACUGAUGGAAUCGUUGCACAGGAUAAUGAGAUGCAUAAGGGAAGAAGAAGAGUGGAUUAAAGCAAACAGUGGCAGCACGUUGAAAUGCAUAAUUCUGGACAUGACAGGCACUUAUACAUUUUCUGCCUUGAUUGCCAUUUGUCAUGUGAAAUGUAACAACUUCUUAUAACUCACAAGGACUUUCUUUGUUUUUUGUUUUAUACAGCGGUGACAGCGAUUGACACAAGUGGGAUUGAAUUUGUAACUGAACUGAGGAAGACAUUAGAGAAAAGAUCCCUUCAGGUAAGAGUGUUAAAGAGCUGAUGAUGAAUGAAUGUCCCAUAUCAUGUCAAGAAACUGAAACUGUUAAGAGCCUUGUGUUGCAGCUAGUGCUAGCAAAUCCAGUGGGAAGUGUGAUGGAAAAGCUGCAUCAAGCACAAGUACUGGAAAUGUUUGGGUUGAAUGGGAUGUACCUGACAGUGGCAGAUGCUGUUUCUGAUAUCUCAUCCCUGUGGAAAUCACAGGCUUAAAAGUAAUAGUAGCAAGAGAAAAAUACUAAGACUUCCUUAGACCUCCCCCUUCUUUUUUUGUAAGCCUAGGGAUGCCUCCAAUCUCUUUUGUCUGGUGAAACGGGAGGAAACUGUUGAAUGUAGUAGUGGUCUUCAUUUGGCUCUCUCAUCUGUUCUCUUUUAAUAAUGAUUAAUAAUAGAAGAGUGUUCAUCAAUCUGUGUGGUUUCCUUUUCACUUUGGUGCUCCAAUAUCAUAUUUAUCGCUUUAUGAACUCAAACCACUCAAAGUGGCAGAGACUGCAGAUAGGCACUCAAUUCAAAUCCUUGACAGUAUGAUGGGAAUCUUCUGGGCUAUAUGCAUAAUGGAAAGCAAAAAAGUCUAAACAGAGUCUAUUUAUCCCUUUUCGUAACUCACACAUAAAUUUCACUUCCCAACAAGAUUUUGUUUGUGAUGGGGUUAUUUAUUGUCAUCAGUUACUCGUAGAUAAAAGAUGAGGGUGUUCCUCGAAAAAGAUGAUCAUUUACUCUCUCUACUUUGUCAAGUUUAUAUUUUUAUUGCAAAUUACUGUCUCCGAUUUUGGACCAAGGAUUUUCAGUUUAUGGGAUGGGAUCAACAAUCAAUCUAGCCUCUUCAAUCCCCAUAUAAUUUAAAGGUGUAGAUUAAUCUCUGGCCUCCCGAAACUUUUUGGAUCAGUUUUGCAAUGACUCAGACUUUCUUUGAUGAAAAUUCUUUUAGCUAUAUGAUUACUGUUGUCGGCUUUAUAUUUCUGGCAAAAAUUAUUUUUAUAUAAAACUUUCCGUACAAAGUUUAUAUACAAUUCAUAUAAAGUGUAUACAACUUUGUAUAUACAAAAUGUAUAACUCACCUGCAAUAUAAAAUGCCAUUGCGAGUGCAUUUUCGUACACUUUGUAUUAUGUUUUAUAUGAACUUGUGCACAAAGUGUUUACAAAACGUCCAUACAAAUUGUGCAAAAUAUUGUACACGUCAAUAUACAUAUUAUGUUCAACUGAAGUAUGUUGAACAAUGAACUAUCUCCGAAAAAUUUGAUAACAUGACGCUGCGAAUUCGACCGACAUUGAUAGCUAAAAGUGUGAAGAAGCUCAUAUAUGUGUUGGCGAGGGUAUUUGCAUCCUCAUUCAGAAUCCUCGCCGCAGAUCCAAACCAAAUUGAUACAAUGUAACUACAAUCAAUGGCCAUCGAUCACACGGGUAAGAAGUCGUGAUCACUCAUCCCCACCCAUCGUAGAUUUGCAUGGUUCUUGUGUUUACGUCGAUCUGAACCACCUGUAUUUGAAAGAAGUCUGGAAAAAUGGUGUAAAUAUUACUGGUUUAAAAAUUAAAUAUAACAUACUACACCUUCUAAAGUUGUGUAUUUUUCUAUAAAAAAAAAGUCAAGUCCAACUUCUUGACAGGUAAUGGUGAGACUGAGAAGUAACAAUGUAGAUGCUGAAACUUGGAAACAACACGAUGCUUGCCAUUUGAAUCCAUUAAUAUGGUGAAGUGAUCCUCUUUUGUUUUUUGGUAAAGGAUGUAAUUAAUCCUCUUUAAAUUGGACCUCUGUGCUGAACUUUCCAGUAAGGGAGAAAAAACAGUUGCAGCAUUUUCCAACCAAUUAUUCCUAAACCAGACAUCACUCGUCCAAAACCAGAACUAAGCUUCUCCCCUUGUCUAUAAAUCUAUUUGCGAAGAAUCUGAUGACCCAAUUGGGAAAAUCCAACGUUAUAUGUAAACUCAAAUUCCUGACAGACGUUGUUCAUCAACAAACUGAAGUUCCUCCUGUUUAAACUACAAAAACUGAGAGAAAGAAAGUAAAAGAAGGAAGGGAUCGAAGAGUAAGUAGAGAUGGUGGGAAUGAGAGUUGAAGACGAAACAGGAUCUCGCCCGGAAAUGGCGGUGAUAAUAAACACAAGUGGUGAUGACGAGGUGCACAGAGUUUGUCUGCCGCCCAAGAGAACGACAGCGCAGAAGCUGAAACAGAGGCUUGGAGAAAUCUUCUUUCCUGAUGAUCCGCUUUACAGGUUCAAGAACCAGACAGUGUACAAGAAGGUGAUACUGGGUCUUCAGUUCUUGGUACCUGUUUUUGAAUGGGGACCUCACUACACUCUCGACCUCUUCAAGUCUGAUGUCGUCUCUGGUCUCACCAUUGCCAGCCUUGCCAUCCCACAGGUACCACGACACACACCACCCAUAAAGAACCGGUUGGUGAGACGGAGUUGGGCUUAAUUUUAUAUUAUUCAUUAAUACGCCUCAAAAGUUCUUAGAAUAAUUAAAGUUUGUACAGUUUUGAUAAAUCGUAUCGUGCUUUCGUCUGGCUUCUCAUGGAAAUCCAAAUUUUUGUAUUUCGCAAACCCAAUCUUGACCAAAUCCUAUUUAGCCUAGGUUUUUCGGAUUACCUGAAGUCCGAUUGACUGGUCGAGUCGGGCUAACCCCGAUGGGUUUUCCAUCCCAAAUGACUAAUAUGCAUCGUUAAAAUAGAACUAGUCCGGAUCAAACCGAGCUUACAUCGGGUUAGGACUUAUUCUUGCUUUAACAAAAUCGCUGAAAACCCGAACCUCUGUGUUAUGCAAAUCCAAACUCGACUCGAUCCUAUUUAAUUUUUGGGUUAUCCAAAAUCCGGUUUGACCUGACCAGACUAAAUCCAAUCAAGCCUUAUCUAAUUCCCACCCAUAGUGCAUGGAUUGGGGAUUAUCAAGAUUUGAAAAUAGAAUUUUUUAGACUCUGAUAUCAGUCGUGAAUCACUAUAUCCCAAUAACUCAAAUUAUUUGGUAAAUGCCUAAAAUUAAUAACUUCAAUUAUUGCAUCCGAUAGUUCAAAUUAUUACAUUCCAAUAAUUCAAAUUGUUCAAAUUAUUACAUCCUAUUAAUUCAAAUUGUUAAGUAAAUAUUCAGAUUGAUUUUUAUAUUAUUCUUAUAUUAUUAAUUAAGCAGGUUAAUUCUAUCCUACGUCACUACGUAUCUAUCUUCCUCUCCCCCCCAUGAUACAUGUUUUCCCUUGCUGCUCUGCUCUUUAGUGUAAGUGAUGGUAACAGUCUGUGUGGUGAAAAUGUGUGUUGCAGGGUAUCAGCUACGCAAAGCUAGCGAAAUUGCCUCCAAUCAUUGGCUUAUGUAAGCAUUCAGAAAACGUUAACAACACGUUAUAAGUUGAUUAAUAUGAAUAAACAAGGUCUGAAGAUGUGUGGUAUUUGAGAAUGCAGAUUCGAGCUUUGUGCCACCGUUGAUAUACUCAGCCCUGGGGAGCUCAAAGCAUCUAGCGGUGGGACCAGUGUCGAUAGCAUCCUUAGUAAUGGGUUCGAUGCUGACCCAGGAAGUGUCUCCUACAAAUGACCCAGCGCUCUACUUGAAACUGGCAUUGACGUCCACGUUCUUCGCGGGAAUGUUUCAGGCUUGCCUAGGGGUGUUAAGAUUAGGGUUCGUGAUCGAUUUCUUGUCCAAGGCAACCCUGGUUGGUUUUACUGCCGGUGCCGCGGUGGUUGUUUCCCUUCAGCAGUUUAAAGGGCUGCUUGGAAUCGUCAGCUUCACCAGCAAGAUGGAGAUUGUUCCUGUAGUGUCGUCUGUUUUCCAGAACAGGGAUGAAGUGAGUAUAAUUCUGACAGCAAAAAUAUUGCUAUUUUGUUACAGAAGCUUUAAUAUUUGACCAUGUGAAAAAUGCGAUUGUUUGCAGUGGUCAGGGCCAACAGCGAUGAUGGGACUCAUUUUUCUGGUGAUUCUUUUGUCAACAAGGCACAUAGUAAGUCCCCAUUUAUUGUCCUUCAAUUCCAUGGCUAUUGGUUUCUCUUUUUUUUUUCUCAUUUCUGGAAAAAUCGCAGAGCAUGAAGAAUCCGAAACUUUUCUGGGUGUCAGCAGCAGCACCAUUGACGUCUGUGGUAGCUGCAACACUUGCCAGUUUCAUUUUCAGCUCUAAGCUCCAUGGUGUCAAAAUUGUAAUCUCUCUAUCUGUGUUAUCUUGUCAAGAUUUAAAGCUUGAAUUUUCCAGCCUUUUAAAUGAUGUCAAACUUGUUCUUGUGUUGAAUAAAAAUGAAACCAGAUUGGUUAUCUGCCAAAGGGAUUGAAUCCUCCUUCCCUGAGUAUGUUACUCUUCAGCUCCUCUCAUCUGGCACUCGCCAUUAAGACUGGGCUCGUCACUGGAAUCUUGUCCCUCACUGUAAGUUUUUCAAAACAUAACGGCUUGGUCUGACAGGUGGAAUGUUGGAUGGAAUUUUGAGCAUUUUCCUUUCGAAACAGGAAAAUUAGAUUUCGACCAAAUGAUGGGAAGCGAACUUUCUCAUUACCAUCUAAAUUCCAUCCAAAUUUCCACCUGCCAAACCUAACCUUGGUCCACGUUUCAGCAUCAUUCUCUGCCUAAAUCGUAACAAGUGCUUGAAACCUUUCUUGUGCAGGAAGGAAUUGCAGUGGGGACAACGUUUGCAUCACUAGGGAACUACCAAGUGGACGGAAACAAAGAAAUGAUGGCAGUCGGGGCAAUGAACAUGGUCGGAUCUUGCACAUCAUGCUACGUGACAACCGGUUCAUUCUCGAGAUCAGCAGUGAACUACAACGCGGGAGCCAAAACCGCAAUGUCCAACGUGGUCAUGGCAUCCGCAGUGCUAGUAACCCUGUUGUUCUUGAUGCCACUCUUCCACUACACUCCUGAAGUGAUCCUAGCUGCAAUCAUCAUCACCGCAGUCAUCGGACUAAUCGACUACAAGGCCGCCAGCAAAAUUUGGAAAGUGGAUAAGUUGGACUUCGUGGCGUGUCUGUGUUCCUUUGUGGGAGUGAUCCUCAUCUCGGUUCCUACGGGACUUUCAGUGGCAGUAGGGGUGUCGAUGUUCAAAGUGUUGCUACACGUCACCAGACCCAAUACUAUGGUGAUGGGGAACAUUCCUGGGACUCAGAUUUAUCAGAGCCUUCAUAGAUACAGAGAAGCUGAGAGGGUUCCUUCCUUUCUCAUCAUUUCUAUAGAGUCUCCCGUCUACUUUGCCAACUGCACCUACCUCAAAGAAAGGUAACUAGUUUACUUUACUUUGCAUUCAUAUUUGCUAGAAGAAGACAGGCAAGUAAGUAGUAUACAUCUUACCAAGUUUGAUGAACUAUCAGGAUAAUGAGGUGCAUAAGAGAAGAGGAGGAUAGGAUAAACGCAAAGAACAAGGAUGAAGGGGAGGAAGCGCCAUUGAAGUACAUAAUAUUGGACAUGACAGCGGUGAGUGCCAUAGACACAAGCGGGAUUGAAUUCGUAUCGGAGUUAAGGAAGACGCUACAGAGCAGAUCACUGAAGCUGGUGAUGGCGAAUCCAGGGGGAACUGUGAUGGAGAAACUCCACAUGUCGAAGGCAUUGGAGCUUUUUGGAUCAGAUGGACUGUUUAUCGCAGUUGGUGAAGCAAUCUCUCACAUUUGCUCCCUUUCCAAAACUCACCGUGAGGUUAUAUGAGCAUCGCAUACCUAUGACUCUACGAGUACUACCAGGACAUUCUUUUAUUACACAAAACUUGGAUUGCAUUCAUAUCAACAAGUCUGUAUAUGAUUUACAUUCUAGAAAUUGUGCAUAACAUCAUAGAAUUUAAACUUCGAGAGCUAAUUGAAUAAAAUCUGCUGCUGGAGCUAAUUGAAAACUGGAAACACCAUCAUCUACAGCUUUGACUACAUUCAUGUUUUGGCUUCACAAUAAAAUUGCACUCCCACUCUUCUCAGGGCUCCAUUUCCCAACCCAUUGAAAAGAACAGCCGCAAAUUACUUGUCAAAACAAAAACAAAAAUAGUAACCAAAUUUGGAGUCUGUAAACUGUAAUUGGCAUUCUUGUUGCUUCUUUCAACCAUUAAAACACAACAAGAUUUAACUAUCUAGGCCAAAAACUACCUCUUCCUAUCGGAGGCUCGGAUCUCUACCGCCCGAAGGAAGCUUCUUCUACGUAGGAUCCCAUCUCUCUUUCAAACACCAUCAAUAGCUAAUAACACUGUUCAAUCUCAAACAAGGUUUAUACAUGUCAUCCAACUGCUCCCAUGCUCCCUCAAACAUCUGCAGUGGGGGAGAGAGUUUUCAGUGAUUGUCAUGGAAUUGAUACACAAUAUAGUACAUACUUGUUGGAUCGAAACAAACUGCAGAGAAUCACAACUCAACAUUUUCCAUAAGAAAGCAAUUCAAAUUGAACAAAAUAUGAACAAGAAAAGCAAACAGUGUCGGAUCAGUUGUAUUUCAAUCAGUAAAUGGAAUUUGGUGUUACUUAAUAUCAAAAAGCAAAAUCGGAGCGUUACUACAUCUACAAACAUGCUGAACAAAGAGGCAUAAGAACGUGCAACCAUUAUGUAGAAAGAGAAAACACAUACUUGACCGGUAUCGUGAAAUAGGAAUCUCUCGUAGUUCACGCCUGAUGCAAAGGUAUUCGCCUAGUAAUGCCAUCACUGCAAGUCCAGUGAGGUUCACAACCCACCAAGUCAACGAGGAAGGCCAGCCCCCGUAUAUUAUGCAUAUUAAGAGAUGGAUGAUAUAGACGGUCGCUGAAAAGUCUAAGCACUUCUUUGCCCUCUCAAUCAAAUAAAGCAUAAAUCCAGCUCUGCAUACAAAGCAAGAUUAAGGAACUUUGCUACUUAGUACUGCAUAAGUUGUCAGUUCCAAACAUUCUCAUCCAUAUCUAAGAUAUAGGUUUAGACAAGCUACAAAAUCAACUCAGAUAAAUUCCACAAACAAGUGAUGUUUCCAAAAAGGUUGUCCAAAACUGCUGCAUACCAGCCAAGAAUGAAGUCGAAAACUCAUUGCAUUCAACUUAUCUGGAGAGUAAACUGAACCAACCAUACAAAAAGAUUAAGUUUAGUCCAUCCACUACAUAUAGAAUAAAAAAGAGCUCUUCAAUACUCUUUUUGCUAUGAAUAGUAUGUCUUCAAAUGAUACCGAUGUAUAUAGUCCAGGCUAGUUUGCCCUUCGGAUUCCAAACCAAUUUGGAAAAGGGCAUUGCAAGAUGGUUGAAUGACGAACUCAAGUUGACCGGUGCAAUUCACAACUAUUGUUCACAUAAAUGGAUAUUAGUUGUCAACCUUUCAGACAAACUCUGGCAAUUGAGUGUAGCUAAAUGUCUAGUAAAGAACAAUAGCCAAGAUCAUAAGUAUACAUCUUAUUCAAUAGUAAAAGAAAAGAAACCAAGUGUGAGACACACAGUCAUGUAUGAUGUACUAGGAAAUGAAGACAAAUGCAAAUGCAGCCCCUUGCGCCAUUACAGCAGAUCAACCAUGGUCAUUACUAAAUAGACAGUGGGGCAUAUUCCAUGAGCUUCUUGUUUCUCCAAAACUAUGGAACUCUACCCUCUAAAAAUCAGGUGCUUUACGAAGCAUAAGGUUUAGAAUGCAAACGAAACAAUGCAGUAGAUAACUCAUUAUCCACAUAAUAAUAGCAGCCAUCAAAAGAUUACUCAAUCAGUGGCACAACAAAGAAACAAAAGGAAAGGAAAGAUGCUUACCCGGCUAGGGAGCUGAGUAAGAAGGAGGCAAUAACGCACCAACCAGUAACAGAGGAGGCCGUGAUGGUGGCGAAAUCAAAGAAAUAGACGAGACUAAGUCGAGAAACGCGGGUGCCAACAAAAACAGAGAGGAAGAAUCCAAGGUUGAGGUAGUAGAGGCAUUGAAGGCACACGAUUUGGGCGACAAUAAGCCAUGGAUCCCAUACAAUUGAACCAUAGAACAUGACUGUAUUGAUUCCCCGAGAGGCGGGGACAAAUCCAACAAGGAGAUCGAGAAAUUCGAAACAGAGAAACGGAAAAGAAAGGGUAUUUCACUUGCUAACAGAAGACGGUGUUGAGGAAUCCGAAUCCAGGCGUGAAUCGAUGAUCAUCUGUGCUGAAUCGAGCAGCAGCAGGAUUCAAAAUAGAAUUCACCUAGCGAGAUCGAAAAAUGGUGUAGAAGAAGAAGAAGAAGAAGAAAGGAAAACAGGAAAUGGGGGUUCCUUGCUUUUCAGCUUGCAGACGAAGAGGCUCUUUCCGUCUCUGUCAUCUGCAAACAACGAAGAGCAAUGCGGCAUGCGGCGCCGUCCGCUCGUUGGGUAAAUAUUCACCUUGAUCCUUCAUUUAUCAAGAAUGUCACCCGCUGGUAAUGGUAAUCUAUCAAUUAAACAUAUAACCUGCAUAACUAAUUUUUGUAACAUUAUCAUUCCAUCUAAUAACUUAUAUAUUGACAUCUUAAUUCAAGUUAGUAUAAAAUAUUUUUGGUUAAUCUCUUAAAUUCAACAAUCAAAAAAUAAAAUUGUAUUUUUAUCCCAUAUAUGCUCUCUUUGUUAUAGCCAACUUAAUAACCGAGUUUUAUUAUUAGUUCCUUUUCUGAAUUUUAUCAUAAAAUGUCAGAUCAAUCUAACACGUUAAUAAAAGUCUUUACGUAGUAGCUGCUGACUCAUUAUUUGAAGAUUUUUUUUGCAAAAUUAUAUAUAUUAAUAAUUUUGAAAUGGACUCAUUGUAGCCACCUAAAUUUUCGCUAAUUACUGUUAUUAAGAUUAAAACAUACAUCAGGUAUACACGCAUCGAAUAUCGGAUUUACGGCUGCCCUAGUUGCCGCUCUCAAUUGGAGGCUUGUUGCCGACGGCCACCGUCGAUCUCCUCGUUCAAUCACCGCCUCCCUCUCUUCAUCAUCACCACCAAGCAGCUCAAUGGCCCAUCGCGCGCGUUCCGAAGCUUCGGCAAACCCGCCAACCAACGCUGCAGCAACGGAGAGAGCGGUCCAGAGACAGCUUCGAGCUCUUGCUCCGCCGCAGAUCGGACGGGCGUCUCCAGGGCUUCCGAACCAUCCGUCGCGACCCCCGCACUAACGGCGACGGGACGGCAGUCGCUUAGGGUUUCGGCCCAUGGGCCACCACUGCCUCCCGGCUCCCCGUCGUUGGAAGUAAUAGCGCGACUUUCGAGAUCCUCGACCUUGGAUUGAGGGAGGGAGACUCAAACGACGGGGACGGAAAAUCUAGGCCAAUCCUCACGGAAGGUUGCCCAAUUCCUCUCGCUCGCCGCGGUGGGUAUGAUGUACCACCGCUACCACGGGAUCCCGCAAACUAAUCAGUCGCUGCAUCUGCAGAGUCACGACUCACUGCGGCCUCCGGGCUUUCCGAUACUGGGAACACCAGUGCGCCCCGUGGAGCCUUCGAUAGAGGAAUCAGAGAGGAGGACUUCAAGGGUGGGGUGUGCCAAGCCUCGACCUGCCCUGAUCGCCCAUCUGCGGGGUCAGAGCCGCUCAGCUAAGCGGAUCAAGCGCAUAGCCAUGAGACUAGCGUUAUGAUGUUUUCAAUAAGGACCAUUCACUGUCCAUAGAUAGGGUUUUUCUUUGCUUUUAGUCGUGUGUCUGCGCACUUUUGCUUAUUGCUGUCUGGUGACUUUGUUCUCUUUGUCGUUGUCCGUCGUCACCGUCGCUGUUUACGUUGCCGCCGCCGUUUCCUUCGUCCGUCGCGGCCGCUUCCCCUACUCUCAAAUCCGCCGCAGGUUCGUCCUUAGGCCGCCACCGCCCCCGGGGCGUGCGCCGAGUGAAAUCCCCCCCCCCCGCUUGCCAUUGAAUGUCGACCACCACACGGACACCAUCUCCAUUCAAUGACGACGGUCGCUUAAGAGGGUCGCCAUUCAAUGACGGAAAAAUGGUGGCGGCAGCGGUUUUAAAUAAACACUUUUGAUUGGUCAUUUUAAGUGAGGGAUAAAUUUAUCGAUUGGUCUUUCGCAUUUUAUAAAGAAAAUGAUAUUUUAUUGUUUUAGGGGCGUUUUUGUCAUUUUAAUUUAUGAAUUCAAAUGUUAAGACGUUUCACACUAAUAAAACAUAGGGCGUUAUAUAAUAAUUCAGUAUCUAUACGAGGCCUCUACACAUGUCAAACACUCUAGCGAAAUUUUAGAGUAGAAACUAACGGAAGGGUUAAAUUGCUAAAGUUGGCUAUAACACGGGCCGAUAAAUCGAGUGUGUCACCAUGAUUGGUUUUAAAUGGUCUGGAUUUGACGGCACAGGUGAGUUCAUUUCAUUCAAUUGAAAUACUGUCAAGUAUUACAAAAAUAAACUACCCAUAACAGCUAGGUAGGCACAACUCAUCAACAAAACAAUAACUUCCUCCAACUUUUAUUUGCUUAACUUCUGAUUUCUACACAUCCAAUUCCUAACUUCACAGUAGUCUGCUGCGAAACAAUACUUCAAUGGAAACUAAUUAAGGGGGUAGAAGAAUUCAUUUUAUCAAACACAACUCAACAGUUACUAUUCCUGAGAAGUAGUUCUUUUCCUUCUGGUGGUGCUUCUCUUUGCACUACUAACGCUGACCUUUUCUCCUGCUUCUUCAUCAACCUUCACAGAAGGCUGCUUCUCACUUUUAACCACAGGUUUCUGAUCACUAACAGCAGCUGUCUUUGCCGAAUUCAUUUUACUCCUUAAUCGCAAAAUUUCACCCUUGGCAGAAGCUAACGCCUCUUCUAGUUUCUUGGCUUUCUUCUCAAGACUUCCCCUUUCCUUCCCCAGCCUCAGAACCAUGUUAUGAGCAUCUUCCAUAUUCUCUUUGGCCUCCAUGGCUGCAUUCUUAUGCUCCGAAACUGACUUGUAGAGUAAAUGUUUUUCAUCCUCAAGGCUUGCAAUUGUUGACCUAGCCAUCUCAAGUUCUCUGGAAAGAGCGAGUGCAUUCCUGUUCAUCUCGGCAAGGGAGGUCGUGGCCUCUUCCAUAUCCGAUUCAAGAACUUUUCUUGCCUCCUUAUCUUCCAAUAUUUGCUGCUCGACCUGUUGUAAGUCCCUGUGCAAAGACGAAAUCAUGUUUUUCUCUUCCUUGAGUUCAUCAGCAGUUGCUUUUGCUUUACUGUAGACAUCCACCAAUUCAUUCUGAACGUUGUCACGUUCUUCUGUCACAGCUACUAGUUCAUGUCUCACAGCGCUCAAUUCCUCCCCAGAUCCGAAGCAUCAUUCCGCAGCUUAUCCAGAGCUUUCUGAGACAUGAGGAGCUCUUGCUUUAAUGUCUGAGCAUUGCUUGAUUCAGCUUCAAGUGUUUUCUUUAGUUCUUCCAUUUCUCCAGUUAAAUCUUCAAUCACUUGUUCUUUUCUUUUUGCCUCACUGAUAGCAAGCUUAAGGCUCUCAGUUAACCUAUGAAUCUCUGCUUCUCUUUCUCCCAACAGUUUAGCAUCAAAAGCAGCUUUCUUUUCAGAGGAAAAUUUGAGGUCAUUAUACUCUUCCUGGAUAGUACCCAGCUUCUUGUUAGAUUCAUCUCUCUCUAAGGUCAGAGAACUAACUCCUGAUUCUAGUUGAUCCACCAGAGAAUUCUUCAAUUCCAGCUGCUGCUUAUGUUGCAAGAUUUCAUCUUUCAAACCAUUGAUUUCUGUGUUUGCUCUAGACAAGUCAUUCUCCAUUUCCUUAUAAGAAUUCUUCAAAUUCAUCAACUCUGACUCCUUAUCCUCCAGUGAAGAGCUGAGAGAUUGAACCACAUCUUCCUUUUGCUUUAGAUCUAAACUGAGUAGCUUAACUUUCUCUUGUAACCUCUCAAUAGAGCUACGCAUUUCCUCCAAUUCUAGUUGUAGAGCAUUAUUCUCCUGUGCAGCCUUUGAUAGAUUUCCUUCUAGAUCCUCGAUAUAAACUUUGAGCUCCUCUAUGGCCUUUUUCUCCUUCGUUAGCUCCUUCCCCAAACCUGUAAUUGUACUGUUGGCUACGUUCAAUUGAUUAGCUAAAGUCUGCUGCUCUUCCUUUGCCAUGUUAAGCUGCUUUGUUCGCUCUUCCUGUUCGUUUAGUAGCUGUAGUUCAAAGUUCUUCUUUAAUGACUUGAUAUCAGCUUCCUUUUCUCUAAGUGAAACAGCCAUCUGUGAAAGAGAAGCAGUACUUCAAUCAGAACGCAAUAGAAACAUGGUAGAAGUCAAUCUGAAAUCUGAACGUCAACCCUCCAUAGCCAGAAACGAGAGCUUCUAUUUGGACAAGAAUUUGGUAAAAAACGUCAAAAUACAAUCUAAUUGUAAGAAGAUAGUAACACUAACAGAGGAGAACACUGAAACAACAACUGGAAUAAAGUCAAGAGAUAUGUCCAAGUUCGAACAAGGGAAAUUAACUAGUAAGAGAAACAGAACUAGUUAAGAAUGUGGUUAUUGGCUUACUGAUUGUAUAGUUGAAUCAGCAGCUUUCUUUUCUUUCCGGGUCAAUGCAUAGAGUGCACCAAGUAUGCCAAUACCAACAAUGCCAAGCCCAUUCAGGAAAGAGAAAAAUGGAGCCGGUCCUGUAUAUUUCUGUAUGGGUAGCUGCUGAUCAAAGAUCCACGAUUAUUAGACUACUUAAACACAAAAAAGGGGAAAAUGGCUGAAGUUUGGGAAUUGUGAUUCAGUGAAGAUAUUCAGACCUCUUCGACCUGGUUCGUUGCCCCCAGAUCAUUUUCCUCUGAAAGGACAUAAGAAAAUCGUUGAACUGGUGAAGGAAGGGAUAAUUGAUAUAGAGCAUAACAAACACAACAAAGUAAAAAUUGCAGCUAAUGACAGCAGAAUAUAAUGACCACCAGCAAACAAGCAAACUUUAUCCUUAUUGACUAAAAACUGAUUGCUCGUGGUAAUUCCUAGUAUCAACCUACAGUAAUGACACAUUUCCUUCAUCCUUUCUAUGCACCUUAUUUGUUCUGAAAAUCACCCAAGUUAUAAACCCUACCCAAUUCAUAAAAGGAAAUCAAGAAUCAAAGGAAAGUAGCAGGAUCUAUCUAUCCCUGACAUGAAAAAUGUAACACUGUAAGGAAUCACUGCCAUGGCCCUUCAAGAAAUGUCUGAGGAAUUCAUAAAUCAAUUGCUGAUCCACCAUUUUCAAAACUCUAUUUCAUCCAAUAAAUGUCUCAAGAAAAGCCAAUAGCCAGAACAAAAGAACAGCACGUCAAUCAAAUUCCACAGCAAGCAACUACUACGACACUAACGAGAAGUUGAAAGGGGGAUAGAAUCGAUCCAAUUGACUUACUCUCAGCGACGAGACUUUCAAAAGCUCGGGCCCUGAGGUGCAAGAAUGGAAGUACUGAGGCGCCCAUUAACAGAACCGCUCUCUUGUUGCCAUAGAGUGCGUCUUUCGGGUCCUCUGACGGCAGACACCUAACCCCGACGGCGCCUCUUCUCUUGCUCUUGAACCCUGCUAUUGCAUUGCCAUUGUUUGCACAGACAAAUAAAGACUGCGGAGAAGAAGAUGGGACACAUUGAGGUUGUAGAAGGCAACCGCCUCUUGCCGCAAAACUCAUGAAGGCACUGGGGAGGAGGAAUCUCGUCGGCGAUUCAGCGAGAUGAAAACUCGGACAAAAAGAAAGAAAGAUCAGUUCAGUUCUCCCAAAGGAAUGGCCGUUGGCUUAUCGUGUAUAUCAAGCUGUCGCUCAAUCCUCUAGUGAAGUCUGAGCUUUUUCUGUUAUCGUAAAUGACUUAAAUGUCCUUCCAUUCAGUGACGAAUUUUCCGCUUCAUGGCCGAGUUCCAAUGAAGGAGACAUUUGACAUUUCACAUUUGUUAGUCCGGCGAAAUAACCGGUAUGGUUAGCGUCAGACCCGUUAAGCGAGGGAGAAUAGAGGUUUGGUUCGAGACUGACUUUUUAAAAAUUCAUUCAGAAAAUCAGUCACAUUAUUAUUAUUAUAACAAAUCAAAUAUUAUGAGUUAUUUAAAUGAGAAAUUUGGUAAAGUAUUUUUGUUGAAAUAAUUCAUUUAAAAAGGACAGAAAAGUCACUAAAAGUGCGAAGAAAUAGAUUACACUGCGUGCCGAGUAAUACGAGUCAGUUGUCGUGUAUGAUGAUUUUCGCACCAAUCAUCAUGGAGGCAGACUACAUCAAAGGGGAAAUAUUUCUCCCGAUAUAUUCCUCAUUUUCAUUCCUUUCCUCAAAACUUGUCUCUCUCAACUAUAUUUUUGAACUAACUAUCAUUUCAUUUUUCUCUUGUGAAUGCAAGGGACUUGAAUCAAAUCUGAAACAAACAAUCGUGACCUCUAUCCAAAAAUUCUCCGAUCAAUCAUUCAUAUAUUCACUCUAAGAAAAGAGUUAACUUUUUCAUGUGGUUCAUGAUUUCGAAUUUCCAUACGCAAAUAACAGAGCUAGGAAUAAAAAGCGAAUUGGCAUUAUAUGUGGUUCAUACCAACCUGAUUUUCAACCACUACCAUUAAAAAAAGUUAGUUUUAUAUAAACCACCCUUUUGGGAUUUGUUUAUGGGAAAGGAUGGAUGGUAUACAAUUACGAACCUCAGUGUACAAGACGCCACUAUCUUCUCCUCAUUUUCCUUUUACACUCGACUUCUGAUGUCUGGUCAAUCCACCAACUUUCUCAUUUAUAUUCGAUGCCUAAUUCUAAAUUUCUAACCAUGUGAUGCUGUUUCCUUUGAUAGUUGAUGUGACAAAGUGGGCUCAAAAUGCCCUUUUCCUCACAACCAUCAAUAAGAUAAUCACAGUACAUCCUGCUUAUUUAUUUCAAGUUUACUGCUUCAUAAACUAUAGAGCUCAUAAGUUCAACGAUAACCCACCUGCCUGUGUCUGUAGUAAUUCAAGAAACAAUAAGAUACUGAAUUCACGAUCAAGAUACACAAAGCACUCAACAUAUAGUUUUAUUGUAUCGAGCUCACAGAUGAGAAUCCAAUACAUCUAUCUAGAUUUAGAAGACAUCUCCUUCCUGGUACAAGUAGUGCAUUCUUCCCAGCCAAUUCCUUUCUCGCCUCUCUGCAUACACACCAAAAUAAUAAACACAUCACUGGAAGAAUCGAUUGGUAUACAAAUUCCAAAAAGCAACAGCUUAGGCACAUACCUGUACAUAAAUAUAUAUGUGAUCACUGUCCUCCAACUUGUUUUUGCAAGAGAAACAAAAAGGGAAAGAAACUAUCAGCGGGGAAACAGAGUGAAGUAUCCUCCGGGCACUUAGCCUCAUGAGGCAUUUCAAAACCUUACAGGCGUUUCAGUCUGGUCAAAAUUGGUCAACUCACUAGCGAGGGUUCUAAAAUGCAGUCACCAAAAAUAUGAGUUGUUUUAGGACUGGGACCAUACGAGAUUAUGCAAGUAUAAUCUUCAGAGAGCUCAAUCUCUCGUUGGCUGGGAAGAAUCGGUAUAGGCACAGAUGUUGGCUUAUUGUCUAAGGAAUGGUUCUUCUUCAAACUUCUGCUCACAACCACAGGCAAACUUGAUGUGGAAGUAGACAUAUAUGCUGGCAAACAUGCUUUCGAACCGAAGCUCGGUAUUCUGGUCAAGCUGCUUAGAGAAGAAUCUUCCAGCGGCAUAAGGUCUUCUUCCUCAGCGCCAGAGACAGAAAUUGAUUUACGUAACAGACCCUUGGGACUUCCAGAUUGAGAUGGAAGUGAGAUCACGUAGUUUUUCGGUAAAGAAAUUGAUCUCUUAGAGUCACCAAUCUUGAUCUGUGAUCCAAAUAUCACAUUCUUCCUCUUUGGGGAUUUCAGAAGCUCACCACUUUGCUGUGUUUCCUCAAAAAGCAACUUGACAAGGCCAAGACCUACUUUGCAGCUAUCCCAUUGUUUCUUAUGGCCACCCUGGGAUGUCCUUGGUGACUUGCGGUUAAACGGGUUGCUAAGAUUCGAGGGGAAAAUGAGAUCUAGAGGAGAUGUCGGGCUUCUAACAGACUCGAAUUCAGAUGAGCCUUUAGAACUAGAUCUUGUAAAGAAACCACGAAGCUUGGAGAAGGAGCUGCUUGUUGUGAGGCUUAAUACAUUAGAUUGGAAAUGAGGCCUUGACGCAGAAUCAUCCAUUAUAUUAUAUAUGCAUGUAUGCUCUUUCUCUGAUGAUCUGCAGUUCCACUAAUCGAAAACCGUAAGAGCUCCACUAUUCAUCCCAGUGCAAAACCAGCUGCCUCUCACUGCAGUAGCAAAUAAGUAUAUAUAAACAUUAAGUUCUAAGAAAAAGAGAAAUUCUAACCAUCAAAAGUAUCAGACAGCCCCCAAAAUGUAAACAUGAAUCAUCGCAUCGUAAAUCAUGCAAGGAUGGAUGAAGAGCAAGAUAUCAUGAAACUGAAUUCGAAUCCAAUCUUAUGUUAACAUUCAAUAAAACAGAGGAUGUCAAUAAACGAUGUUGCUGCGAAUAAGCAAUCACUUUGAAACCUGGACAGCUAAAGUAAUUCCACAAUGCCAGUAACCAUUAAAGCAGAGAUCUGUCUUCUUCAAAUCACAGUCUCUAUACAAAAUAAUAUCCCUACACUCAAUCACUUAGAGAAGUUUUCAUGUGCAAGCCCACAUCAAUGAAAUCAGCAAUAGCUUGAGUAUGGAUCACGAUUUCUAAGAAUAAUAAAUGCACCGCAUAACAGAGCUAGGACUGGGGCGAAAAUCAUCAAGCAUACAUUUGAAUAUCAAAUAAGCUGCCAAACAGGAACAUCAAAAGAGAAGAAGAAGAUGAAUCAUGAACAAAGAAAGAUCAACAGGGACUCCUGGCAUAAGAGAUUGAGCCAAAGAAACACCAAAGUAAACAUGCAACUGUGCUCUACAAUAAGGAAAACCUCGAACAGAAUAACUUCAUCCGCCCAGAGUAGUCCAUCAGAGAAACUAAAAUCGGAGUCGAACAAUCAUCAACUCAAUCAACACAAAGGACUAACAAAGCAGAGGUCCAAUGGACGGAAAAUAGUAAAGAUUUGAGGUAAACCACAGCGUUAAACCAAGUCAAAGUAGCUAGAAAAAGGGACUGAACUCACGAACAGUUGUUUGUUUUCUGCUACUUGUAUUUGGAGACAUUAGGGCCUCACAGAAGCAGGAGAUGUAGCUGCAGAAGACGGAUUCAAUGGAGGAAAUGAAGAGAGCGAUGGCCUCAUCUACCUUUGUUAUUCACCUUUUCUCCAUCUCUGGUGUUUCCGAUUGCAAUCAACUCAGAGGAGGACCACUAAAAACUUGAAAAAGGUCUUCUGAUAUUCUCUCUCCUCCUCACAUUCUAUUUCUCUCUCUCAUCAUUAAGAAAUAAAUACGUAUGGCACACCGUAACCGUAUUCAUCUACGUAUAUUCGUUUGCUUUUUUAAUUUUAUUUUUCAUUCAAAUAGAAGUAUAUUCGCUUUCUUUCCUUUUCCUCAGCUGUAAAAUUAUGGUCAAUAAUGCAUUCUGUGAGUAAUUAUCAUACUCCAGGUGAAUUUUUCGCUGCAUCUGAGUGCACCUGUAAGUAUCAAGAAAACAGUGGUGGGUACUGUUUUAAAACGCCCUAAUUUCAUCUGAACCGUCCAAAAUUAAUAGCCCAGAUCUAAUGGCUAUAAUCACAGAGGAAAACUGAAAACUAUGAACAAAAUUAGCGAGGUUGCUGUUGCGCCCCUCGGAAAAUGUUCUGUUCAAUUUUUGGGUAAUUUCGACCUCUGAUGACGAUAUUGGAAGAAAAGACAUGUUACACAACCGGAUGAUUAAAAUUUUUGUGUUUGAAUACAAUAAAUACAUUCUUGACUUUUUGGAAAAUGAAUUAAUUACAUGGUUCACGCCUCUUCAAACGAGGGUGUUUGAUGUUUAUAAUGACUUUCUACUAUAUUCACUAGCCACUCGUACGAACAGAUUCUAAGAAAUUACAAAUUAAAAAUUACUCCUAUGUCUAUGGCUACUAAAAAUGAAAUUGUAGAGAAAGAUAAAUUUGACAAAGUGUGUAUUUGGUGUGUUUUUAUUUACCAUACCGUUUUCAUUGGUGAUCUCUUAUAUUAUAGGGUGUGAGUGCUUAUUAUCGUAGAAAAAGGCAACUGUCAUGGUUACUUCCCAGUACUCCAUGAACAUGGCUAUGAUUAUAUAUUGGUUUACCUUCUUCAAUAUGUUUCCUUUUGGUGAGGUACUUUGUAGUUUGACGAUUUUGUUCGGGACGUCCCUUUAGUGAGGUAAAACAUGGGACGUUGUCAUGUUGGAGUCUGUCUAGGGUCGACCGGCACCAAUGACAAGGCAGUGGUCGAAUGAUCGAGACCGAUCAUGUGAUCAUGUUAUGGCGAUGAUGGAGAUCAAUUACGUGUGUGAUAGCAAGAUCACAAUAAACCAAAAAAAAAACAAUUUAAGGAUCUUUUUAAACUCAAGUUAAUUAAUACUCUUGACUUCAUCCUAAUAAAGCAGAUUAAACUUUUUUUUGAUGAAUAAGAUUAAACCUUUGAAAUUAACAUAUAAGGCUAAUUUUUUGCAAACACCAAAUCCAUUUUAUUUAGCAUGUAGUGAUGUAACUUGUAAACCGCAGCCAUAACUGACCGGGAAGAUUACUUGAACACAGAUAUGCAGAGUACGUAGCUGCAAGCAUACGCUAUCUGUCUGUAGAUGAUACAUGAUUUAGAGACACUUGCUUCCUUGAUCGUCAUGAAGGACAGUAGCGUUGAUGCUCCGUAUGUUCCUGAAAUAACACCCUCCCUUAUUACUACCACCACGAUUCUUCUUCUGACCACCAUCAACAUAAUAAUUGUAUGAUUGCUUCAUAUCCUGUAACGCACUGAACCAAGUUAAGUUCUUCACAGUCCAAACGCUGCUCCCACUCUGCUCAUCUUUCAAGCUGCUCUUCUUCCAAAUUUCAGAACCCGAAGACUUCUUCUCGUGCACAAUUUUCACAUCACUAUACCCCAACGUGAUGUUACUCGUAUCCACGGCCUUCCCUUCUCCUUCCAUCACCACUUGUUCGUGAACACUGGCCACACUAAAAUUCUUCAUCGACAACAUAACAGUCGAGGAGUCGUCGUCCUUAACGAACGAAACGCUGUCGUUGCAAAGAAUCAACUGUUCCACUCGAUCAGCGAAAGCAGGAUUGCCUGCGGUAUGGCUGUCAAACUCGACAUCGAUGUAGUUUGUGUACGACAAGUUCUGGGUAACCUGAACUGUGAUGUUACCAUAUGAUGAUUUUACCCAUCCUUGUGAAGAAAUCAUCCUAUCUGCUUUGAUUGACGAUUCCCCAUUCACUCCCAUCAUGCUGAACUUUGAUACCAGAUGAAGCGGCUGGCUAUGGUUUGCCACUAGUUUCGCCUCAGUUUUCUCGCUUUUGUGGUCUAACCAUAGGUGUAAGUUGGCAUCGACAUACCACACGUCGAUUGCAUUCCCCACUCCGAAGCUCAAAUUAUGAGCCCGACCGUCUAGUAGAUUGCCUAAGAAUGGAGUCAAUUCGACGUCGUAGGAAGGUAGGUCGAAGCUACGAAUGCUGGCGACCGGGUUCCACAUAUCUGACCCUGCCCCGUUAAUAACAGGGUAAGGCCAAAUCGCCCCGACUUGGACGUCAUCGAGCCCGACCGUUACAUCUCGAAACGGUCCGUUUUUGUACACGUCCACAAAUUGGUUGGAGUUGUAGAACUCGGGGAGAUAAUUAGAGAACCAAUAUUCGUCAGUGUUGUGGGAGGAAACGCAUACCUCGAGCACAGCUCUGUAAGCGUUCCGAGGAAUCUCGAAUGCCACCCGCUUCUGGUCCGUCGAGUUCUUGAUUUGAUACCAUAAUCCAUCCUUGGUUUGGAGGUUUUUCUGGGAAAUGGGAAGAAUCAAGUCCGCUCCGGAUUCGCUUCCCAUUCCCAAAUUCAUUUUGGCAGGCUUAGUCCCCAUUUUACCCUCUGUUGGAUAAAAUGAGAUGCUAACCGAGACAUGAUAAACGCCGAACCUGUAGCUGUCGUCAAGUUUGUUGCGGAGGAAAACUGCAAGCUUCUGAGCAUCUUUCUUGAGCAGCAAGGAAGAGUACCUAGUGAUGUCCUUUUGUGCUUUCCAAGCAAUGGAACCACUGUGUUGUUGCGGUUGGGCAGGGGAGCCCCUAAGGAGCUCCACCCCGCCGAGCCAAACUCCGAAAACGGAGUCCUCUUGGGAUCCGCUGCAGGUCCCUGACCAUUCCAAUACAAUCUUGGAGAAAUCGUUGGAGGAGGGAUGACAGUGGGAAGGCGGGCCAGCAUAGUUGACAAUGACGGAAGGUUCACCCUCGGUGGAGCCGAAUUGGUGUUGGAGGAGGAGUUGCUUGCAAGGCACGGUAUUGGGGACGUCGAUGGGUUUAGUGACUUGGAACAGAACAUUUGGUUUGGGAGAAUGUGACAGCUUGUUUGAGUUAGGAAUAGUAGUACUAGCAGUAUGUUUUAGGCGGGUAUUGAGGCGGGUGGUAGCUGCUGCAUUGUUUGGGUCGGAAAUGCAGAGGAAAAACAAGAAGAGUAAAGGGAAGAAGAAAGGAGUAGUGAUCAUGAUAGAAGAAGUUGUGGUGUUUGAGUUUGUAGAUGUAUGUUCUAUCUUUUCCCUUAUUUAUAGCCCUAAGUAAGGGUAUAAACAGUCCUGCUUGGAAGUGGCAAGUUUAAUUUUUGUUUGUUGAGAGUAAGUAUUCUCUAAUUCUGCUACACUCCAUGAGCAAUAAGCCAAUAAUCUGUGAUAAUCUUACAUGCUGCUGUCUCUGACCAGUCAAGUUAAGGACUGAAUUCUUGUAUUUAAGCAUGAGGUAUAUAGUCAUCUAUAGCUAAGGCCGCUAUGGGUAUAUUAACUCCGUAGUCCAGUUAACUAGAAGAGCCACUGAAACCGACAACAAUGAAGUAUCAAACAUAACUGGGAAAUUUUACGAAUUCCCCUUUUUUAUCGCUAAAUUAUUACAAAUUUCAUAAAUUGUCAUAUUAUAAAUUAAUAUAAGUAAACUAUAAUAAUCACAAAGUAAAUAAGUUAGCUCGAGUAUGGCGGCGGUGUUCUUGGUGUUUUUUGGAUCUAUCGAUUAGGUUAAUGAUCGUGUCAGUUACUCCGAAUAUGAGAUUAGUUGAAUUGCCAUUUUUUAUUUUGUUAAGUCCGUCGGUAAUCGAUAGGAGUGGACAUAAAUUCGUUAAAAAUAAAAAUCAAAUAACCAAAAUAUUGCCGGUCCUAAACUUGACUAGUUUUAAUUUCGGAUUGCCUUUGGAAAAUAAGAGUUGAAGUAGGUUAUAUUAUUACAAUAUAAGCAAGGGAAAUACGUAUAUGCUGAAUACAAAGAAAACAAAAUAGGAUUUCUGCAGGCAAUCGGUUUCAUUUUUCUGGCUGCCUUUUUUGUUCGUCUCUUAAUGGGAUUGUCGGCAGCAUAUAGUUUCUGUUGACCGUCGCUCUCAUUUGCUUCAACACAUAAGCAAGUGAAUUUGUCUGUUCCUUAGUUGGUUUAAUAUACUUCUGCUUCAUGUGCUGUUAGUUCAAAGGAGGAGGCAAUAUGGUCCCCUUCAGUCUCUGUGAUAGCGAAUAAUCUAUCAUUACACGAAUGACUUUAUAUCCUUAGGCCUUAGCUAGCAUGUCCUAAAUCUUAUUCAACAAUGUCAUAAUAUUUCAGAUUUGUUAAUAAAAUUGUUGAGUUUAUCAAACUUAUCGAUCUUAUAAAAUCGAAUAAUAGUUAAUUCAAACUUGACUCGUUUACUAUAUGUGCAAUGAUUUAGUCGGAUUAUAUUUAAUUACAUGUCGAGAGUUGGACGAGUUACAAAUUAUUGACCUUUUUGUCAUUAGAUUGGUCUGGACAUGACUUCACCGUUCAUCGAACAGGGGGCCAGGAUCUAGCUCGGAGGCGGGUAGAUGGAAGUGUUAAGUGGUAAGCUACCGGGGUGAAGGGUGUCCGUCGUGGAAUUGGAUGGAUACAACUGGCGUAUGUUAGUUGCAACCAGGUUUUAUCCUUGAAAAAUUGCAGUUCUUGCUCCUUUCCACUUCCAUUCUUGUUGUCUUCCUCUCCUUGGUUCUCAAUUAAUCUGAAUAUGACUCCUCUUCCUCGCCCUUCCCAUCUUUGAACUACUAGUGUGGUUGCAAUUUUCUUUCACUCUUUAGUCCACAAACUUCAAAUUCACCUUGUGUCUGGAAUUAAGGAGGGAUCCUCAAUCCGGAGAGGGAGAAAGUUCACCCACAAUUGUUUAACUUGCUCACUUUUCAGGUACAAUGAACUAUGGGGCUUUGUCUCUAAUGUCUGGUAGUUUCUCCUUUUUGGGAUUGUUAAAGUUUCAACCUUUAUCUCUCGUUGAAUUCUGGGUUGUGGGUGUUCUUGGGUUUUUAUGAUUCUCAUGGGAGAAAUACGUUUUGUGGGUUACCAUAGCUUCUUUGAGAGACUUGGGUCCAAUUUUCGCUUCAGAUUUUGAGUUUGCUUUAUGAAUUAAGUGAGAUUGGAAGAACUGCUAAGCUGUAAAUGUGAAAUCUUAGGUUCUUUUUUGUUUAAUCAGAACGAUUCUGCGAUCUGUUUUUUAUGUAUUGUAUUUAGGGUUUCUUCAGUGUUUUUAGGCUGAAAUUUGGUCCAAAAUGGAUAAAAACUCGUAUGAAGCUCCCCAGCAGGGAUACAAUCCUCCAAACCAGUACGGAAGUGAGGAUGACGAUGAGGAGGACGAGGAGGACGAGGAACUCUCCAUGGAUGAUGAACACUUGGGAGAGGAAGAUGCUGGAGAUGAUAAUCAAAACAUUAGCAAUAUCCAAGGGGCAAGUAAAGAUGUAGACAAUGAUGAGGAUGAGGAUGAGGAUGAUGGAUUUUACGACGAAGCAGAUGACAAUGAGGAUGCUGGGGUUGAUAAUGCUGAUGUAGGCAGGCACCCGAAGAAGCGGAAGCUGAUGAGCCUCUCAUCAAGUUAUGAAUUUGCUCCACGUGUGCCACCAUUGGUUCCUAGUGCCAAACCAUUGCUUGUUGGUGGAAGAAAUCCUCUUACUGAUUGGACCGAACAAGAAACAUUUGCUCUAUUAGAUGCUUGGGGUGACAAGUUCUUGCAGCGUGGGAGGAAAAGUCUGCGUUCGGACGAGUGGCUAGAAGUUGCAGAUAAGGUUUCAGAAGUAUCCAAGAUUGAGAGAACAGACACACAGUGUAAGAACCGUUUGGAUACGGUGAAGAAGAAGUAUAAGAAAGAGAAGGGUAGGAUGGUUGCAGGUUCUUGUACUAGCAGCAGCUGGGUUUACUUCAAAAAGAUGGACAUGCUCAUGUCACAGCAAGGAGGAGGAAGAGGACUUUCUUGUGGUUUGGAUUCUGGGGAGUAUGUAUUCAUGAAUCCAAAAGUAUAUCUCAAUCGUGCAAACGGGUUCGACGAGAUGCGAGACAGUCCAGGAAACACGGAAUCGGGCGACGAUGACGAUAUUUCAGACGGGCUCCCACCAAAGAAGAGGUGGUGUCGUAGUAGAGGCCAAAAUGAGGAGGAGGGAUCUUCCUCUUUCCAUUUGCUGGCUGAUUCUAUUGAGAGAUUCAGUGAGAUAUAUGAGAAGAUUGAGACUAGUAAGAGGCAACAAAUGGUGGAGCUAGAGAAGAUGAGGAUGGACUUUCACAGGGAUCUGGAAAUGCAGAGAAGAGAGAUCAUGGAAAGAGCGCAGUUUGAGAUGGCGAAAAUCAGAGGAAGUGGACAUGAUGAGGAACAAGAUACUUCUGGAGAAGAUGCAAGUGCUUGAUAUGUAACUGCAUCUAUCCAUAGCAUCCUUGAGAGUUUGUUGUUGUACAAUACUUGGGAGAUGUAGGAUGGUGUUAGGGCAUUAAGCUGGCAAGGAUGUGGCAGUAUUUAGAGUAGUAGAAAGAAAGAAAGAAAUAAGAGCUGGUUAGAUCAUUGCCCCAGCCAAUAUCAUGCAUGCAUGCUCUAUUUGUUUCUUGCUGUUAGUUGGGUUCCUGAAACAUUUUAUUUGUUAAUGGUAUUGACUUGGUUCUGUACAAUCUAUUGGUUCCUUGCUGUUACAAAGGAUAUGAACAUCUCCAAGUCUGAAUUGGAUUUGGAUUCAAACCAACAAUCACAAAACAGAAAAAACAAUCGAAAUUAGCAUAAGAAGAUUAUUGAAUUAAUAGUUUGAUGAAUCUACAAGAAUAGCUCAUUAUCAUUAUACAAAUUAGGAUACAGAUUUCAGGGAAGGAGUAUCGUAGAAUGUGGGAACAAGUGAAAAUACAAUAGAUACACUUUGCCAUACAGGAUGAUUUCUGAAUGAGCUAAUCAUAAUUUAGUCAAACUAGCUAAUAAUGAUUCUAAGCAGUUUGUUGUUUUUAACUACCGGUAAAUAAACCGUUUGAUAAUUGACUACCUUCAACCUGUAUUUUCCUCAGCUUUGCCUUGUCCAGCCGAGCUCGUCGAGCCGCCUCUUGGAUUUGGCGGUCGUGGUCUUUCAUUACUUGAUCCAUGUUCCCUGUCAAGGGACCAGAGUAGUGGAUUUUGUGACCCUUUGAUCCAUGCCCCACCUACGAUGAAACAAAUGAUUACAUGAGACUACAAUAUCCAAUUACGAACUGGUAUAUCCAGUUACUACAGUUACUUACAAGGACUGGAACUUUGCAGCCCCUCCUGUCAUCCUCCUUUUCAUGAGAACUCUGCAACUGCUGCCUCUGAUUCAGUUGACUCAAAGACUCGGAGGUUUCCUUGAAGGAUCCUGGAAACCGUGCUAUUAGUUUCGGAACUUCGGUUUGGGAUGAAACUGAUCUUUCCCUGUGGUCCUCGGACAACAAGCUCCUCCUUGCACCCACUAGCCCGGGAAUAGUUGACACGUCACCUCCGUUACAAAUCUUGGGAGCUUCCUCAGGAUUCCUACCAUUAUUUUUUGCCCAAGCAGCACGUUGAGUAAGGGGGCCUGAAUGAGAGCCUCUCUUAUGCUGAUGAUGACCCCGGGGUUCACUUGUUUCAACAACCUGUGAAGGUCUAGGAGGGUCGAUCGGAAACCCAGAUGCAACUUCUUCUGGAUGAGGAUUAAACAUCUCACUCCGGCUUUUAGUAUUCGACUGACCUUGCCUCUUCUGCUACAGCAAAUGUGCAAAACGUAUUACAACUGGAGUUGGAGACUCCAAUCAAAAGCUUCAAGGAGCGAACUUAUUUCUUUUAACAGUUCAGAAAGUUGCAAAUAGGAAGAACUAUCACUUACCUGCAUAGAUACGGCCAGCUCAGCAUUAGCAUCAGGUGCUGGUACUGCUCGAGAUUCUCUCAUUCCUCUUCUUUCAGUAUCAUGUCUGUGGCCCUUGCUUCCUACCGCGCCUUGUCUACUACAAAGGAAGCACCAAAAUUUAGAACUGUAAUGGAUAAAGUAUCAUCUGUACUGACAAAUAAGUAGAUCCUAAAGAAGGAUGCCAAAACUGACAUUUUCAGCAUAGUUUUAUUGCAAGGUCAUGUGACUUUUUUGGUUCCUUGAUCAGGAAAAAGCUAAGUAGGAUCCCGUAGUAUGAAAGGUGAGACAACAGGGAGCAUCUAAAUGGGAUAACGUGAUACUGAACCAAAACCAAACCCAAAUGCUAAGAGAUGGCAAAGCAUAAUUUUUAAAAGCAGUAUAAGACAGCCAAAGGCAAAUUGACUAUAAAAUGAAGUAACCUUCUAGCUUCUUCAUCUCGCAUUUUUGCAUCAAACUCCUUGCUUGGCGGAUAUUUUGGCAAGCUUGAAGGAUCACACGGAAGUGGCUUUGUUGUAAAGAACUGGGAAAACAUUACACAGACAAGGAAAAAUCACCAAAACGGAGAACAAAUGAGUCAUAAUUACUACAAAAAAAAAGCAAAUCUAGUAGAUAUGUGAAUUAAAGGUAAACUAUAAUCCCUCAGCAAUCUGCAUCAUAUGUGCUUUGUAGAUAGAUUAAACCAAAUUUUAAAGGAUUGAAAGCAAUCUUCUUAAGAUGUUAAUUUGAAUGCAAAUAUGAGACAAUUAGUUAUAAUUAUAGCAUCAGCGCUUUCUAUUCAAGAAAAUAGUAUAGCUUGACUAUAAAGAAUACAACAGAGCCACAUGGUUAAAUAUAUCGCAAUUGAAACAUGUUGGCAAGUAGCAGCAACUGUAAUGGAGAACUUCACGUAAUUUAAAAUGGAAGGAUUAGGGAGCAUCCAAUCGGAGAAAUUUAGAAUUCAUACAUCACUUCUCAAAGCAGAAGCGGCAGUUCCCCUGUCGACAGGAUCAACAGAAAGCAAGACCUCCAUGAGUGCUAAAGCUGGUGCAGGAAACUCCUUAAAUGUGUCAGCUACACACCGUCUGUAUGGUUGCUGAGGCUUAAAUAUAGUUGCAUGAGGCAGCUUUGACUUUUUCCAAUAUUCCUCAGAAGGAGAACCACAAAGUUUGAAAAUCUUAUGUAACUGCUCCACCUGCAAAGAAUAAGCAUUUAAAUUACUCGUCAGAUCUUCGUUGCACAAACAUUUAUUUGUGAAAGACAUAGCAGAUAGAAGCAUGAGAACAGAAGAACAAUACAACAGUAUCAAGAUGUUCAGAACUUACUGAGAACAAAGAAUUUCAAUACCAACAAAAACAUUAAUCCUUCAAGAAAAUAAUGAUAAUUACCUCGGUUCUACCAGGCAUAAUAGGCUUUCCAGCAUAUAAUUCGGCAAGUAUACAACCAGUACUCCACAAAUCAACAGCAGUUCCAUAGUAAGUUGCUCCAAGUAGAAGCUCCGGAGGACGAUACCAGAGAGUCACAACCCGGCUUGUCAAAGGCUGAAUAUGACUGGGAUCAUAAAUGCUUGCUAGACCAAAGUCUGCAAUUUUAAGGAUACCAUUAUUACCAAUUAGAAGAUUGGAACCCUUAAUAUCCCUGUGUAAGACACCACGACUGUGACAAUGAUCAAGUCCUAGUAGGAGUUGUUGCAUGUAACAUUUGACCUGCCAUAUAUUAUAGGAAUUGGAUAAGAAGCUGAUAUACAAAACAGUGAAGAACGAGAUAUAAGCAGAAAUCAUUGAAGUAAACAUAAUGGUGCUAGCAAACAAUAUGAAUAUUAACUUUGAAAUACCAUUAUAGCAAACCAAAAUCCUGCAAAUAUAUUGGAAUGCUGAAACUGAUAUAUACCUGUGCUUCUGUGAAUUUAAAACCAGGAUGUGAUGCAAGGCCAGCCAAAUCAUGUUCCAUGUAUUCAAAAACAAGGUACAAGCUACAAGACAUCCUUGAUGUAACUAAUCCUUCUAGCUUUAUCACAUUAGGAUGGUCAAGCCUACGCAGAAUAUUGAUCUCCCUUGCCAUAAACCGAACACUAUCUGGUUCAAGAUUAUCAAACCUCACUUUCUUCAAAGCAACAAUCUUCUUUUGAUCCAGGUCACGAGCCCUGUAGACAUUACUAUAGGUUCCUUGGCCAAUCUGCAAUGGACAAAUAAAUGUAUUAUUUACCCACACAUUAUGACAAUUGACAGUUGACAAGUGACCAACGUUAUGAUGAAAUGAGUUAAGGUGAUCACCAGGUUGGCUAUCAAGGAAUUCAGACUCCACAAAAGAAAAUAGGAUAUGCAAAGUCGCUUAAUACAUGAAUGAUUGGUUGGGAUGCCGUCAAAAGAAAGCCUUGAAUAUACUGCAUUUAAUGGAAGACAUAGAAACAAGGUACAACAGUAUUUAUCAACCUAGGCAUAACCUGAACAUAGACCAUGUCGUUCAACCAGAUUACUGCAGUGCACUUGGGGUUUGUUAUCAUCAGCCAGCAACAGCUAUACUUAGUAUUUUUAAACUCUCAAAUGUACACCCUUGGUAUAUUACAUAUAUUUACCUUAUCAAGCUUCUCGAAAGAAUCAGCCUUCCUAGGAACCCAUCCCUUUAUUGCUUCGCCAGCCACUGCAGCUAACCAGGAAGGCCAUCCAGCAGCAACCUGCUCCCCUUCAGUUGCUUUUGGCAUACUACCCAUACUUGGAUGCCGCACAACAGCAUACUCCAUCUUUGGUCUUCUCUUAUCAACAUUCUCACUCACAUGCAACCUACUUGAUCCAAUUAUUUGCUUACCAAUUAACAUUUCUCUUCCAUCGUUGCUAUCGUAUUUCUCUUUAGGUCUAUAUACUUCUUCCCUCCUUGAAGACGCAGCCCUGGAUACCCUUACCUCUGAUGAGGCUUUACUUGAGAGCCUUUCUUUGGCAUCGUCUAUUGCAAAGGGUUUACAGCACAGGCAACCCAUAUUGCCGGAAAGAGAAUCGCAAAAUGUCUUUGUAUCAAUUCCCACAAAUCAAAUUCUGCACUUUUACAGACCCAUCAAGGUAUUCGCUUCCCAUUUCUGGAAAAAAAAAUCAACUAGUAUAUAAACUAACAUCAGAGCCAAGAGGAUUAAAGAGAUGAAAAGAUCAAAAUUUCAGGACAUCUCAUUAUUUGCAAUAGCAAUACAACACAACAUAAGAAAAUGAAGCUUAAGCUUUCUAGAGAACCGAAACGUUGAACAAUGUUCUCCUUCUCAAGUGUUGAAUAUUGCAGACCAUAUGAGUUGGGUAAUAAUCCAUGAUCUGUGAGUGUGCAUAGCUACAAGCUACCUCUUUUACAAAUUUAUCAUGUUAAUCAAUAGCAAAGCAUUGUAACCACAUAAAACAUUUACUUUUCAUAUUAAUGAACAAGUGUCUUUAUUCCAACUUUUCCUGUUACUUUCUCGCGCAUUAUUGAUCUACAAUUACACUACCCCAACAUAUCUGUAAUGUGAUCGACAACCAGCGAUUCUACUAAAACACUCGCAACUGUAACAUAGACGAAGCUCAGCAUUUGUCACUGAAGCAAAAUAUACUCUGGCACUAGUAGAACAGAAGAUAAACAAGACUACCCAGAAAACGUAUUCACGAGAUAAUCAAACUAAAAUGCAGUAAAUAUAACGAGAGCUCAGUGGCACAACUUGAUUCACGUCUAACAAACUUAAAACUUAUAAAUGCAAACCAAAAAAAAUAGAGAAUUGACCAGAUCGCGCCCUCCUUUACCAUCCUAAAUGAAAGAAGACAUUGCAGACGGCACUGCCCACACGAAAAUUAUAAGCAACCCAUAAGUUGAAAAGAAACAGAUAAUGUAAUAUUGCAGAGCAAAAAAAAAACAACGAAACUGGAAUAAUUGUUCGGUUUAAGUACAAGACUAGGAAUUUUGUUCAGUAAAUGCAAGAAUUAAGCUAGGGUUCUCAAAAGAAGUAAACACACAGCAGGUAUGACAGAGAAGCUUCUCUACUGCUCACCAGAAGGGCUGAAGUGAGAUUCGGCCAAGCAGGCCAGAUGCGUUGCAGAUGAAGGACAAUAAAGUGAGCGUCCAAUUCCCAGAAGAAGUGAGAGUAACUGAGUAAGGUUUGAAGAUAUAGAGAGUGAUAGAGAACACUGAACAGAUCCAACGAGCAUCAGAGGCUGAGAGGGUGAGUGAGAGUGAAAGCGGAGACCAGACUGUAACGAGUUGAGCUUUUAGGGAUCUGAAUCCAUUUUAUAUUUUCUUUUUGGUAAAAGAAUCUGUUUUCUUCUUCAUUUAUUUCAUAUUAUAUUUUUAUGGAUUAAUAUUGGAAGUUAACAAAAAAAUAAUAUUAAUAUUGGAAGUCAUUUUAUUAUACAUCCAUAAAUCAUUAAUAUUAUCAUAAUGGUUGUCCACGGAUUGAGUCGAUUGUCUAAUUUACACAUAUCCAGCGUACCAGCUAUUAUAAUCCAACACAAUUAAAAAUACACGGCCGACGUUUUUAGGUGGUAUGUGAUCCAAAACAAAAAUAGAAAAUUUAAUUUGUUUGAUUUUUAGAAAAAUAGGCAAUGUCUAUAUAUAACAAUAAAUGGGGAGUCUCACCAUUCAUAUAAGAAUAUUUCUUAAGCAGUUUGACAGAGUGUGUUACCUCUUUCGCUCUGCACUCAUUAGGAGUCGAUGUACCAACCGGUCACAAAUACAUACUCGCAGUAUAUUCAUUAGCAAAACUCUGACUGUUCUAGUUAUAAAAGUAGAACGAGGUUUUCUCCAAUUAAGAAAUAGGAGCAAUCAAUUUAUUAUCUUUAUCACUAGCCUUUCCUUUAUAGGGUUUUCUAGUCUGUGAAAUGACAAGAAGCAUCUUGAAUUUAUUCAAAUCCCAGUGACGAAAGAUGAUUCUGAUACAAUACCAAUGUAGCCUGGUAAAGAUGAAGAGAGCUCCUUGCUACCUACCACCAACUGAAGUGAUGGUUACCUGGUUCAGUGUAUGAUGAUUCUCCUCAGCCUCUGCCUCUUCAAUAACCUGAGCUUCAUCAUGCAAGUUCACCCUGUAGUAAAAUGCAGGCUGAUUUGGGGAAGGCAAUUGUGCUGUUUCAUUGUUAUUAUACAACAUGGAGGUGAUUUCUAACAUAGAUGGCCUGUCCCUUGGAUUCUCCUGCACACAUAACAGACCUAUGUGGAUGCACUUCAAUGCUUCAUUCUCACACUCAUUGCUUCUAUCAUUUAUUCCAACAUCAACCACUUCGUGUCCCCUUCCUUGCCUCCAUAGCUCCCAAGCCUGCCCGUAUUUUUUCUUAUAAGACUUCAAACAAAUAUGGUUUCAUUAAGAUACUUACAAGUAUAAUUUCCAAACUAACCCAUGUAACGAGACUGCUUGGGCCGCUUUCAUCGUGGCUGAAGUGAUUGUUCCUCUUGCCACUAACGAUUUCCAGCAACAGAACUCCGAAGCUGAACACAUCAGAUCUGGUUGAGAAAAUCCCCUCAAUGACAUACUCAGGAGGCAUGUAGCCGCUGCCACAUCCAUGCAUGGUACAUUAGUAAUGAAUAAUCCCAUUGGUACUGAAACAGAAUCAAAAUAAUUAUCAAUGAGUCUUUGAAACCCAACCCAACACACAUACAAAGUUCCAGCAACCCUUGAGGUGAUAGCCCUAGAUUCAUUGGCAUGAAAUAUUUUGGCCAACCCAAAAUCCGAAAUCUUGGCCUUCAUCUCAUGGUCGAGUAAGACGUUGCUAGCCUUGAGGUCUCUGUGGAUGAUCUUCAGCCUUGAAUAUUUGUGCAAAUAUACAAGUCCUUGAGCUAUCCCUUGAAUGAUGUCCAACCUUUGCUUCCAAUCUAGCUUGUUCUCGUUUGUGGGAGCUGCAAGCAAGUCCAACCAAAAACUUAUUCAAGGAAACUAUAUGAUGUAAGUUAAGCCAGAUAUAUGAUGUAGAAAAGGAGUCAAGGAAACUAACGAAAAAAGAGAGAAAUCAAGGCUUUUGUUGGGCAAAUACUCGUAGACCAGAAUUUUCUCUCCCUUGUCAAUGCAACAACCAACUAGCCUGACCAAAUUGUCAUGCUGCAGUUUGGUUAUAAGUCUUGCUUCAUUUUUGAACUCAACUAUCCCCUGCUUUGAACUUGCUGCUAGUCUUUUGAUUGCUACUUCUAACCCGCUUGCCAGCUUCCCCUGAAACCAGAGAUCAAGGAGAUGAUGACUAAUACAUACAUGCAUCAUUAUCAACGCUGUCGACUCCUCGAGGGUACGUACCUUAUAAACGGGUCCAAAACCACCCUGUCCAAGCUUAUUAGAAGGGUCAAAAUUUCUGGUAGCAGAUGCUAUGUGCUCAAAACUGAAGAACUGGAAAUCAUUGGCGUUUGCCUGAUCAGUACUGCCCAUGCGAAGCUCAUGUAACAAUAUAUCUUGCUCUGUAUCGGCAGUGGUCAUCGCUAAAUGAAGCAAGGCAUGUUUCUUGCACAUUAGCAGCAGUGAUCGACACGACAUCCACACUUGUUGGGCACUUGCUGAUACAAGGCCACCGAUUGUUGUUGAUAUAUGAUUGUGCCAUCUCCAACAAAGGUAGAAGAACAAUAACAUGAUAGUUGAUGGAACAACUACUCCUAUUAUGAUUAACGUAGGAUUCCGGUGCUCCCCUUUUCUUUUACUUUCAACUGCAUAGUACAAAAUGUAGGGAUAACCAUUCGUUAAGUAGUCAUUUUGUCAAGCGUUGUUCUGUUUGGGGCGACAUGAUAGAUCAGUCGUCGUUUAGGAUCGAUGAAUGCAAAUAUUGAGUUUGUUCAAGUCUCUUAAUUUUAGGAUAUAUAAUACAAUGGUCACCUAACUUUGAAAUGUAAAACAUUGUCAAUGUACGUUUGAUUAUUAUUAAGAGUUAUAAACUACAGGUAACUCGCGUUAUACAAAAUGUUAUAAUGAUAUUUUAAAUUCUAAUUUUUUAAAAUAAAAAGGGCAGAUUUGUAAAAUUGAAAGGAGAAGCUUAGUAGGAGUGGAUCAUACCAAACCGCCCUCUUGCAACAGUACAAAUAAAAUAAUAGAGAUGAACCUCUAAUCCUCAAAUUAAAGGUGAGAAUUGGAUUAGCUUACUCACCAAAUUCAUUCGUGGUAACUUAAUCCGCUCCAAAGUAGAUGAUAUUGUGGGUGAGUUUGGAUUGUCUAUCUAGUCACUCAUCAAAUAGUGAGUGAGUUUGGAUGAUAGGUUACAUGCCCAACCCACCCGACAACAACACAUUAUUACUAAGUAGGUAAAUGUGGGUUGCAUAAAGAGUGACCCACUAAAUAGCGGAUGUGUUGGUUUUGUCACAUAAGGCUCAGCCCUACCUCAAAUAUUACAUCAUAAAUUUUGCAUCGUAUUUUGGACUCUAAUUUUUUUAUUCUAAAUCUAAAUUAACAAAUCUUAAAUCCCAAAAAUUAAACUCUAAUCCUUUUAACAUUAUAUAUUUUAAAUCCUAAACAUAAAAUUAAAACUCAAAAACUCUUAAUUUGAAGACGAAAUUAGGAGAAAGACUGAAAGCUCACCUGUGGUCUGAAAUCUCACAUUUCUGCUCCUCAUUUCCUCAUACACUUGUUCUUCAUCUUUUCUUGCAUAAUUGAUGUAGUCCCCAAAGCAAUUAGGGGUAUCAAUAUCAUCAUUCGCAAAACAUCCAACAUCCUCUCCACUAGAGUCCCUGAGGAAAUAAUUUAAAGUUGGGGGGGAUGGAUUACACUAAGCUUCAAAUAUUCAGCAGAUUUUCAAUUUUAGCAAAUAAAAAUAUAAACUUUCAUCAACCUAGAACCAAAAUUUCCUGGAAGGUAGUUCGGGAUCAACGCUACGCUCUGUUCACCGUCACUGCAGUCUACGUACGUUAGGUAGUCAUAUAGAUAUUGAUAAUUAAGAAGAUCUUCACCAAUAAAAGCACCACGGCUAGUAAUAGUUAUCCUUGUAAAACUAACAUCGUCUUGAUCUCCCCUUUUGGCACUGUAAAACAUAUACAUCUCUUCCCCAUUAUUACUCGAUUUAAAGCUAAAAUUAAAACCCCCUAAAGUCUGAUUCAACCACGCACCACUUCUCCAAUACACCCGUCCUUCCCACCAAAUCACCAUUUCACUCGUCCGGUUGACGUCUAACCCGAAACUGAAUUUGCUACUCGAACUGGGCCAUGGUUUCAGAGACCAAACAUGCCCGGGUAGAUUUGCACCUAAUCGCAUACCUGGGAGUAAGGUAUCUGUUGGAUAAUCGAAGCUCUGCCACACCUCCUGCAUCACUGUCCCGUUGGGAUCCAGUUCCUUCAACACCAAAUCUCCAGAAUCCAUCAAAACGGCAGUCGUUCGGCCAGAAACCACCGUUGCACUCACUUCAGCAAUUCGAUCGCCUCCCCCAUUUACGACCUUCGGAUUCCCGUCACUUCCAAUCACCAUAGACCCUGUUUUGUCCUCCAGUGGUGCGUCUCUGUUACCCACCCAGACCGGCCGUAUUGGGGGCGGCGGGAUGGAGUAGUAAGUUCGGGGAGAUUGAUUGGGACUACGGUUGAUGAGUGCGUUAUCGAAUGGACUUCUGUACCAGAUUCCAAGGUAGCGGUGGUGCGAAUGUGGAAGGGUGAAGAAUCCCAAAACAAAAACUCCAGAGGCUGAAACCAAGUGGUGCCCAUCUCUCAACUCUUGCCCGUGUAAGAGUUUAUCUCUUUCACAGUUUGACAACAGAGGACAUAGUUCCAGUGCCACAAAAGAGAAGAAGAAGAUGAAGCUGAUAGACAAGUUAAAUGGAUCUCCUACUUUGGUAAUCGCCAUUAUUGGUGAUCCCCUUACAAUGCUGUUUGUUUCUUCAGUUUUGUGAAAUCUGUUAAUUCACUUGACUCUCGAUUUCCAUGGGAUUGACUGAUAUAAUGAAACCUUCUAAACGGAGACUUGGAGUCAAUCUUCCACAGUGUUUUCCAAGGCUGUGGCUAUCGUAUUAACCGGCCGGGUAAUUCAUCGGGUAGCGAGCCGGAAGAUGAAGCAACAACUGGGCGGAUGAUGGACCGGCCGGGUAAUCACCAUUUUCUACCAACACUAUAUCUAUCUCUUCAAUUGUAAUUGGAUUUGAUGACUUUAAAUUAAUACUACAACUAGUACUGUUUUUUAUAUAGUUUGGUAAUUAAAGUGAAUGUCGAUGGCAGUUGUCGGAGGAUUCGAAUUCCGCAGCUUUCAGAGGUGUCCAGAACGAUGAGGACGGCGGAUGGAUAGCUGGUUUAUGUCAGAAAGCAGUGAUGUAAGAGGUCCUUUUACUCAAAUUGCUAGCUAUUCGUAAUGGUUUUUUCAUUGCGAAGAUUUUUUGUUAUAUCCAAAUGGUCGUGGAAUCGAAUUUGUUAGAUGCAGUUAAAUUAAUAAAGGAUGUGGACCUGAACUCCCACCUUUUGUUGCUAUUGUCUUGGAUCUUAUUUCCUUUACAUACGGGAGGUAAAUUUUCUGAAUUUACUCACACGUUGAGAUAAGCAAACAUCUUUGCAGAUUGUAUGGACAAAUGAGAUAUGUGACGAAUUUGAAGGGAAAGGUAAUGUUUGUGACUUGCCAAGAGAAGUUCUAUCCGUUUAGUGGGAUGGCAAAGAAGGAAGAAAUUCCUUUUGACAAUAGUCAAUUUUUUUUUUGAAUUUUGUUUUUGAAGCACCAUAGUCAUACUAUUUGCUUGUUUAUUGUUUUAAGUUUCAUUCUAUCAGAGCUCAUUAGUUUUGUGAAUGUGUGUAUCAGCCAUGUGGGACACAUUUUAUUUUUAAUUAUAAAUAGCUUUUAAGAGNNNNNNNNNNNNNNNNNNNNNNNNNNNNNNNNNNNNNNNNNNNNNNNNNNNNNNNNNNNNNNNNNNNUUAAUUUUUUUGAAAAAGAAAGUAAAUAACGACAUUUUUACUUAUAAUUGGACUAGGUGGAGAAUCAAAUAUACAUCCUCUUUUUUGAAGGUAUAGAUAUAGUUAGUUUACGAAUAGAAUACAACGUUGGAAUGAAAACGUGAUCAACAAAAGUGGCAAAAACAAACUUUACUAUAUUAAUACUAUUUUUUACUCAAAAAAAUAUUUAAUAUUGUUGCCAAUAAAUUCCUUAGAUGAUAUCAAAUCUACUUUUUCUUUUUUUGUUAAAAUACAUACGUUACAUAUUUUUUUUAUUUUUGAUGUAAUUAUGAUGUUUAUUGCCGACAAUAAUAAUCGAAUUUGAUCAUUGUAUAGUUUUUACCUACUACAUUUUGUAUUUGGAAUCAAAUUUCAAUUAGCCUAUUUAAUUCCAUGGAAUGUCUUUUAAUGGAUAAAUUAUAAUUCCCCCCACCCCCACAUUUCCUUCAUAAAACAAAAUAAAAGACAACUCACCAAACCCAAAAAACAAUCGGACACAACAAUGGCUCCUCAUUUCUCUACGUUCCCUCUACUUGUUCUCAUCUUCCUCAAUUCCCUCCUCUCCGCCUCUGCAAACCUCCACAGAUUCAAACCCGAUUCCCUCACAAUCCCGACGACAACCCACUCCGACACCGUGUUCUUCGAAGUCACGAAACCCAUCUCAGUCCCCAACACAAAACCUUGCGUACACCAUCUCCUCACCCAUGAUUUCGGAUACACUCUCAACAAGCCCCCUGUUGUUACAAACUACACUCCUCCUUCCCACUGCCCUUCUUCUUCUUCUUUCUCGAAAAUCGUCCUCGAAUGGAACGCCACUUGCAAAGGCAGGCAAUUCGACCGCAUCUUCGGUAUCUGGCUCGGCGGUGUCGAGCUUCUCCGUAGCUGUACCGCCGAGCCCACACGAACCGGGAUCUUCUGGAGCGUCCGAAAGGAUAUCACCAAGUAUUCUUCGUUGCUCCUUGGGAAUCGAACUCAGGACCUCUCUAUCUUUCUUGGGAACAUCGUUGAUGGUACAUACACGGGGAUCUAUCAUGUCAAUGUGAGUAUGUAUUUUUACCCUUCUGCCUCCGAGGUUGAACAUAAAUUUCAGAAGAAGAAGACCAAUAAUUAUGCGCCGGCUGAUUUGGUACUGCCGAUUUCGAGGAACAACGUUCAGUCGUUGAACGAUGGAUUGUGGUUCGAGAUCGAAAACUCGACCCAAUUCGUGUCAAAAGAGUUGGUCGGCAAUAUUCCACCUAAUGUGUAUAGAGCAGUGUUGGAGGUUUACGUUUCGCCCCAUGGGGAUGAUGAAUUUUGGUACACCAACUAUCCCAACGACUAUAUUAUAAGCAACAACAUUACUGGAUCGCCUGGUAACGGACCGUUUCGCGAGGUUGUGGUGAGUCUCGACGGAAAUACGGUAAUAGGUGCAAUCUGGCCUUUUACCGUGAUUUACACCGGAGGAAUUAUCAAUUUGUUUUGGAGGCCAAUUUCGGGCAUCGGAUCGUUUGAUCUCCCUAGUUACAAUAUUGAAGUGACACCCUUUUUAGGGACACUGCUCGACGACUCUAAGAAGCAUAGUUUUGGAUUCAGAGUGACCAACGCGUUGGAUGUGUGGUUCGUCGAUGCCAAUUUGCAUCUUUGGUUGGACAGCGAGAGCGAGAAAACAGAGGCGAAGCUUGUUAAGCAUGAUAGCGAUCUUCGUCUCGACGUACAUUCGAACUUCGAAGGGUUGGAUGGUGAAUUUACUACGCAUGCUAGCAGGUCGGUCUACUCGCACGGGUGGGUGAAAUCGUCGCACGGUAACAUCACAACUCGGUUCGAGCAACGAUUACGGUACAACAAUUCGAUGGAGCUACGGAAAGACGGACAUGUACAGAUUGUGAAUCAGACGAUCUCGACAAACGACGUCGCGUCAUUCAAGCCCAAGUCUCUCUUGUUGAAAUCGAAGAAAAAAUUCAGUAUAAAAUUGUACACCGACACCGAGGAAAAAGAGAACAACACGGUUUCCUAUGCGACGGAUCUGACAUUGGGGUUUGGUUCGAGGGAAUACGGCGGCGGCCGAAGGAAGGGGAUUAAUAGAUCGGCGGUGGAAAAUGUGCAGAAGGCUAAAGGAGAAAUUGUGGUGAAGGGGAACUUGGUGACGAGUGGAGUUGGUGCGACGAAGCAGAGGUAUCGGUAUCGAGGAGGGGAUGGAUUGUGCUAUUUCAGGGACGUCAAAAGCAACAACUACACCAUACUUGCUGAUAAACAAGGAACCAACUGCAACCAUAGUUGACAGAAAGUUACAGUGCAAUUACACCUUAUAUAGCCUCUUAUUCUAUAUGAAUCAACUUUGAUUCUGCCAAUAUGAAUAAGUUUUCUUUGUCACGAAAAUAAUAGUGGAGUUGAACUCUGAAGCACAAACACAUCAGUAAGAGAGUAAUAAUAUAUCGUGAGUGUAUUCAGAGACUUGGAGGCGACCGGUUGAUAGUCUGUUUUCGACAAUUGAGGCAGUGUCGCGAACGUUUAAAAAAGAGCAAUCUAAUCCGCGUCUCAACCAGAUCAAUAACUUGUGUUUUGCGUAUUCCGUUUCUUACCCUAGUUAGUACAUGACAAAGCCACACACACACACAAAACCUAUUCCUAGCCUAAAUGCCAUUUUGUUUGAAUAGUGUAUAUACUUCCCCAUUCUAUUUGGAGCAAGUGGAAAUGUACCAUUAGUUUAUGUAAUAAAUUUGCAUGGAUGAGAGAAAAUGAGAAAUUAGGCGAGGUGCAUGUAUUUACGUUGUGACUAAAUCUGGCAUAAUUUCUUUUUAAGAGGCUACCAAAUACCAACAUACGACGUGAAAGAAUCGGCAGAGGAACAAGGCAAAAGAGAAAGAGAUGGCGAGUGCUGAAAAAUCAAAUGAGAGGAGAAGGCGUAUCAUGGAAAGAGGAUCCGAUCGGUUGGCUCUCAUCACCGGCCAACUCAAGAAUCUCGAACGCACUUCCUCCCUCCCCUCCGCCGCUCCCCCUUCCCUUUCCUUUACCGGUACUCCAAGCACCUCAUAUCUCAACUAUUUUAUUUCUGGGAGUCUGAUUUUGAAGUUAGAGAUAUUGUUUUUUAGAUUGGAUCUAGGAGUAAUAUGGGUCGUACGAUCUCCACAUGGUCUAAAUGUGAAGAUUAAUUAGAGGCAAUAUGACUAUAUUUUUUAAAUAUUUUUGUUGGACUAGAACCCAGUGAUCUCCGAUGGCUGAACCACGUCGCCGGUGCCCGGUGAUCAGACCACCAUCUCUAAUAUUUGAAACUAACCCGAUUCAUUUCCCGACGAUUCCGACCUCCGUUGACGAAAAUUUGUGCACCCACGUGAUCACCAUCGUCGGAAAACAUUUCUGAAAAUAUUCUCCAACGACCGGCCGUACAAUUUUGUACGAAGAGUUGUACGGAUCAUACAAAUGUGUAUAGGUUUGUAUAAAUCCGUAUAUACACAUUUGUAUGGCUUUUGUACGAACUGUAAUACUAACUUAAUAUAAUAUUUAGUGUACACAUUAGUAUGGUUAUAAAAUAUCAAUUUUGCCCUAUAUUUUCUACCGUUAGAUUUAGGGAUACAAUUUUUCGAGAGCUAAAAUUUGUAAGUGUUUUUUGUAUCGGAUUCAAUGGCUCCGAAUCCGGACUCAACUAUUUCCCUUAUAUCUUCAAUGACAACAUUUAGUUUAUUUAUGUGUUGAUGUUUAAUGUUAUUGUUGUUAUGAAUGUUUUAAAUAAUAAUUCAUGAAAACUAACUGUUCUUCAUUCUUCUAUGUAAGUUUAUUGCACCCUAAUCUUUGAUUCAAUAUUGAUAAUGUUGAGGUUGCAGAUCGAUCAGAGAUCCAUUUCGAUACCCCGCAGGCCACAGAAGUAACAUCUAGAAAGGAAUAUACAGUCCCGAAACAAGUUCCAAAGGCCGAAAAAUUCGAUUCAUCAAACCACACUAGAUUGGCAACAACAUCAGAUAUAAAAAAGCCUCAAGCUCCACCGAAAAUCGGCCAACCACCACCACCACCAUCAUCAUCAUCGUCGUCGUCGUCAAAGGCGAAACAGCAGACAACAACAUUCUUCUCAUCGAGGCGGCUGAAUGCUUGCAUCAUAGCUUCAGAGAUGCCACGAGCCAAAUGCUCCACCGCUAUAGCCGUGCUAGUGUUGCUGUUCCACUUGAUUGGAAUCAACGGCGGGGGGUGCUGCGAAAAGUAUAAGCCGGUGUACUUGAUCGUGGUGACGAGUGUGACGGUUGUGUUGGUUAGGAUGGUUCAGGGGAAGGGGACGGUUGUGGAAGAUGCUGGGAAAGAAGAUAAAGCAGCGGAGGAUAAGAACUGGAGAGAUGCGUUUAUGGUGUUGGAGAGAGGUCUUACUGCUUACCAAGCUAUCAGGGCCAUGUUUAUCGACUGCAGCAUUUACUUUGUUAUUGUCAUUUCUGGCCUCUCUAUGGCAUCAUCCAAUUCAUGAUCAUGAUCAUCCUUCCUACUAAAGGAUGCUUCUUGCAUUUCAUUUCCCAGCUAAGCUAAUAACUGUAUCAUCGAUCUUUAUUGAUGUCCAUUUUUCUAGAUUUCCUACACGCAUCUACACUAUAUUAUUAUAUAUAAGCUUGUGUUGUACUAUUCAAAUUGCGGCUUCCUUUUGGAUGGGUGAUAAUGUUAAUCGAAAUAUCUCUAUAUUUCAGAGUUCUUAUAGAUAUUUAAAAAUAUCAAUAUCACAAAAAUACGUUAUUAAAAACUGAGUACUAUUAAAAAUCAUUCCCUAUAUCAUUUCGGGCAAAACUAAAUUGCCCUUGUUUGUAGUUGCAGAAAUUAUACGCCACGUGAACAAUUUGACCCACCUGCCAACCUUCUCUCCUCACUUUUGUCAGCCCUCACAGAAUAUCAUAAUUUCUCGAAAUAUGGCAUAUCAAACAACCCCUUACAAAACAGUUAGAAUCAACCAAACAAGAAAUCAACCUUUUCAUAGCAUGCCAUCUUGGCAAUGCAUCCGACGUUCAUCCAGGCCGAAAAAUAAACACAAUUAAACCAACUUUUGAAAUUUCUCUAUAUAGGUAGGUCUAUGCAAAUAUACAAACAGACAAACAAAAAUUCAUUAUAUAUGAGUGUAUAUAUAUGUAUAGAUUCAGGAGGUUUGGCUUGGUUUUCUUUGGCGUUGUGAUAUAGCCCUGAGGGUCCUGUACAUCUCUGAACAAGCCAAAGCAACAUCGCACAUCGCCCUGAACAGCUCCGGCAGACGAGUCUUGAGACUCGCUAAAGACUUCUCCCUCACUUGAACGCAAAUCCUCUGGUACGCUUCUUCCUCUUCUUCGAGUUGCUUCUUCACAGCCUCCACUGCAAACUGUCUCUCCGCGACAGCAUCCUUGAUGCUGCUGUCUGGCCUCUCUGGAUCCAGCUCUUCUGGAGUUCUUCGCUGCAUAUACUUGUUAUACCAGUCCUCAAACUGCCUUGUCUUACGUGCAAGAUCUUUACGGGUUUCUUCGCACUUUUCUUUCAGCUUCAUCUCUUCGUCUUGAUGAUGCAUGAUUGUCUCUAUCACGGCUGCAAAGUUGCUUAUUGCUGUUCUUGCAACCUCGUCCGGUAGCUUGUCCAUGAAGUCAUGCCAGGCCAUUAGAAGCGGCUGAAUAGGAGAAGUCUGAACUCUGGGUGGAGAAGACACCUUUUCUUUCAAACUGCUCUCGAUCGGGAUAAGGUUUAGUUUCAACCAAUUGUUGAGGGACUUUAGGUAUGCUUUCUGGUUGUCUAUUAGACCACAGAACUGUGCAUGCCACUCCCGAACAACUGCCCAUAAUUGAUAGGUACGGUCAUGGUGGUGCUCGCUAGUUUCCUUGGGGGACUGAGAGAUGUCUAAAGAUCUCAAUGCAUAAACGAUCUUCGAUUGUGCCUCAUGAUGAACUCGCAUUGUAUCCCACAUUAUCGCCAUCCUACAUUCCAACAUAUUAAUAAAAAUGCAGUCUGAAGCUGAUAUGAACGGAAUUUUGCAUAUGAGCAAAAACACACAACUCACGAAAGGGAACAAAGUCAUUUUCCACCAUAACUUACCCAUCAACUAGGUGGACGAGUUUUGGAUAUAACUGCUCAUCACGUAAGCGAUUUAUCUCCGAAACAGUGGAAUCCAUUGAUUGCAUAUCUACAAUGUAUCUCGUAUGCAGAUGACUUACUGCAGCUUUCAAUUUCUCCAGGGACUCCGGAUUCGAACCACGUUUCUUCUGCUUAUUAAGCAAAGCAACCUUCCUUUGAUACUCAAACUUCAUAACUUCACCUGCCUAUCUACCAACAGGAUGAACGAAAUGGAAUCUUUUAGAAUCAUGAAACAGAAAAAUUAUAAAGAAUCUUUGAUUAACCAGGACUGUGAAACAAAAAAGUGGGUCAUCUCAUCUCCACCGGUUUCCAUUAAAAACAUAUGUAAGCAAAAAUUGCAUAAAUCGACUCACAACAGCCUAGAGUCAUAGCAAAAAAAUACAAUUUAUCCUGAGCUGCCAAUUCGGUAGAUUCAAACAGAUAGUAGCUCUCUGGAUUUAAAGGGAAAAUAAAAGAGAGAUGUCAAAUCUCAAACAAACAAGAUUGUACCAUUAACAAAGACCAAGAGAUUCUAAAGGUGACUUGUUUCUGUCAGCUAAUGUGAACAAGAAGCGUGCGCCAUAUCAAAUGAGAACACAGAAAUAUCAAUAUCAGAUAUUGCUGCUUUCAAACAGGUAAUCAAGUUCUAUACACUAAAGGAAUCGUCACCCAAAAGGUAACUAAUUUCGAGACAUUUAGCGAAACAGAGAACUGCAUAGUGUAUAGUAUACAAACAGCCAGAAGCAGAUAGAGGCAUACCUUCACUUCAUCAUAGAGCUUCUUUUCCCAAGCUAGCAUCUUGUCCAGUACAGUGGCGUGAGUUUCAUGCUCCUCGGAAUCAAAUUCAUCGAUCCCAUCGUAUGCAUUAGGGACCCCUUUAAAGGACCGAUUCCAUGUAAUGACUCGCAUCACUCUUGCAGAGUGAUCAAUAUGUCCUGGAAGAUACAUAAUCAGAUCAUUUAAAAUCACGCACAGCUACCGCCCAUAUCAUCCUAGUAAGUAGGAACUCGGACACAAUUCUUGUAUAAUAAAGCAAAAACAUUUGAGUUAAUCCUGCAGAAGCAAUGAUGACUGUACUAUUUAGCCAACAGAGGUAGACUACGUACCACGAUUAUCAGCAAAAUUAGAAUGAUAAUGCAAUUUAGUGGCCUCCAGCAUCUUGGAAACCUCAUGAGCACUCUCAGAUGCAGCCAAGAAGUGAUUGUCAAGCUCCGUAAAUAUCUGCAUCAAACUCAAUCCUUUCAUCAUCCUCCUUCCCACGUCGUCUCCCCCGACUUUCUUAGCUUGCUUCUUCUCAACAAUAGGAACGGGUACAGGUUCAGGCACCUCCACUGCCUUCUCUACCUUAUGUUGCUCCUGCAUUACCAUCCGUUCCUCUUCCGCCAAUCUCUUGGCCGCCUUUGCUUCGUAAGCCUUUCGCUCAGCCUCCUCUUGCUUCAUCCGCAUCUCAACCUCAUCAUCGUCGUCGUCCUCAUCAUCAUCCUCCUCCAACACCGGCUCUGCCAGAGUGGGUCCAGGCAUGUUUUCAACCGGCGGGAAGAAGUAAUCCCAUGUGGUUUCCUGCUAAACAGCAGAAGGCGGCCGCAUGACCUCUUCUUGCCUCUUCAUCUGUGGCUGCGGUGGGAGCGGCGGUGGCUCCUUCUCCAUGUAAUGAUUCUCUCUGUUACUACUACUUCCCCUACUGCUUCCACCCCGCUUCCUGACCAAUUUCUCGUCCUCGGGGGGUUCGAAUUCCAUCUCCUCGUCUUCAUUAAUAGUCGGACCCGCCGGCUUCAAAUCCGGUUUAUGGAUCUUCAUCUCGGGCAUACUAGUGGCCCUCUGCAAGGGAGCUCCUUGAAAAUCGAGAGUAGCUCCUUGAUACUCCGUAGGCAGAGGGGGAGGGGGGAGAAGCGUAUCGAACGGAGCCUGGGGAGGCACCGGCGCUGGCACAGUGAAAGGAGCGGAGGAGGAGGUAGGGAGGGUGGCGGCGGAGGUUGAGGAAGUAGGGACUUCGCCGUGGGCGUAAUCGCUGAGAGCGGCGCCGGUGUUCUUAAGGGACAUGGCGUAGGCGGAGUGAGCGGCGGCGAAGGCGUUGCGUGCGGAGACGGCAUCUUUCAUGAACUGCUUGCGUUCCUUGCAGCGGUUGACGGCUUCUUCGUUCUCGAUUUUGGACUGUGAGCACCCCAUGGAUCAAACUCCCUUUUUUCACUUGGUAGAGAGCGGUGAUUGCAAUUGCGAUCCACGACGACGGAGGGAGGGAGGAGGAAGAGUUUGCGAAUUCGGGAUCGGGGAAUCCUUGGUGACAGGUAUGAAAUUGCGGUGAUGACUCGGUGGAGAAAGAAGAAAAGUGGAAAAUACACAAGGAAAGUAAUGAGAAAUAAAAAUAAUACUGGAGAGAGAAAUGGUUUGUUUUGCAUAUAUGUUUAAUUAAAUCGGGGAAGCUGCCGUCUAACCGAUACGAUAACCAGGAGGACUGACGGACUCAACGACUAAAAUCUUCGGGAUUGAAGAUUAGUAACUUCCGAAUUGAUGAGCUGGCUUCAUCCGGACCCCUAAGCCAGUAACAACAACCAAGUACCCUAGUACGCUCAACAUUUUACUUUUAACUUUUGAAACUUCAUUUUAGCAAUGAAACCUGGAAAAUGAAAACUUGGAUGAGAAGAAAAUUGGCCAAAACCAAAAGGGUAAGGCUGAAGACGAGAGGAAUUUGUUCUUCCACCCUUUUUGAACGACUAGAAACGUAUUUAACAAGGCAUAUCUAAUUUCCAGCUAUUCAUCUCAUCAUCUGUAAAGUGUAAACCCCUUAACAAAAUUCCAGCACUUUCCUCUGUCCAACUGCUGGUGUUUCUGGUAUUUGAUAUUUCCAAUUACCAUCAUAUUCGUACAAUUUGCUUGGAAUUCAGAAUACUUGGAUGCCAAAGUCAAAGUUAAAGUCGUAUAUACAGGAUACCAAAAAGAUCAGCUACCCUAGAAGAAUAGAGCAGAUGCACUUGAGAAGCUUUUUAACAAGUUCAAAAAAGUUCUAUGAGCGGGCUUUCCUCCUAUCAUACUUGAUCUUCCAAAGCUCUAAGUCCUCUCCCCUAUCAUACUCCCUUACCAACUGUGGAAUCUGCCAAAGGUCGAUGCAUCUCCCCACAAAUGGAGUACGGGACUCACGUUCCCCAAAUUCUGCAUCGUUCAAUUCCGUACGUCGCUAUUCAGUAGUUAACACAACACUAUCAGAGGAUCUCUUGAGAGAUCUAAUGAGAUUGCAGCUACUUGCUUACCUUCUUCUCCCCUGAUAAAACUUCGAAAAUGAGCAUAACCAUUCGCCACCACAUCAAAAUCAGCAAGGCUGAAAUUGUACCGUUUCUCCAGGGCCAAGUAUAAAACCUAAAAAAAUACAGAAGUUACUGCCACAGUAGACACCAGAUUACAAACCCAAAGAUCCGGUUUAAAAUUUUCAUGCUUGGGAUGCAAGCAAGAAUACGUUUGGUUUAAAAGAUUGGAACCUAACUUGUAUUUACAAAUUAGACAGCCACAAAACAAACUCCAUAAAUCGUGCCUAGUUCACAAUGCUGACGCUUUGAGCAAACUAUAAGCAGAUGAGCAACAUCGUCUAUAAUGCAAAGCCACACAGGGUUGUUAAGUUAUCGAGAUAAAUUAGAUAUGCUCUGCAUUUUUCUUGCCCUUUUCAGUGUAUUAUCUAUUCAUCUGCAAAUUCUAGUUUGUGUUUUGUUUACCUUCUCCGGACCCAAUUGCAUUAGUGUAUCGAGCAAACUGAAUAGAGCAUCAGUCAGGUCAUCACUGUAUAUUACAUCCGCAGCUAGGAGAACAGAAGCUCUCUCAGCUUCUUCAACGUCGGAAAGACUCCACCAAAAGCUACAUUCAGUAAAGAUUAAAAAAAAUAUAACUGUUUCUCAACUAGCAAAACAUCCAUCCAAAAGUGAAGUGUCUCCAAAUGUAUGUGAAGCAAGGAGGAAAAAUGGGGAUUCAUCAAUCACUCAUUCUAUCAAAUCAAUUGUUAAUAGAAGAACGAAAGUAAAAGAAGUUUCACCUUUCAAGACAAGAAUCAUUCCGUCGUUUCACAUUUGGGGGCCAGGAAUUUUCCCAAUCGAGUUCACGUACAUAAAUUGACCCGUUAUACUGCAGGGCUUCAUAAUUAAGAUGAACAUUGCUUCCACAAUUAGCUAGGAUUUUCUCACCACGAUCUGUGGGUAGUUGCAGAUUGAAAAGAGCGGCUAGUUGAAGAACUAUGGAUCAAAAUGUUGUUUGAACUCCCUAUUCUCAAGCAUCAGUCCACUUUCUCAAGAAAGCAGUCUUCUAAUCAGAGGAUGCUUGAUCUACAAGUUUCAGAAUCAACAAACAUUCGGAGUGGGCCCCUUCACAAGUAGAAGCAAUGAGAUAUAGUUUGGCCAGAGUACUUUGAGAUGAAAAUACACAGAAGGUAUAACCCGAAAAAUGGACUAACAAGAGUAGAUCACAGCUUUGACCUCUUUUACCACUGACACAGAACAUAAGGUACACCAUGCAUAAAACAUUACGAAUGAUCCCAACAUUGUCUUGCAUAUGGAAGAGGGGCAAACUUCGAAAAAAAUUAGACACAGUAACCCAAUUCAUUUUCCUGAAAUUGGUUGGACACAGAAACACAAUGAAUCAGCAUAAAGAACGUUCAACUGCUGGAAGACCAUGAACCUCACCUGUCAGGAACACUGAUUUAGCCACAUGUCCAACCAACAUACCAACUAAUCCUGUUUCAGAAAGUGAAACAAAAUAACAUCAUAAUGUCAGCUGUCUUAUUAUUUUAUACCAAGCAUCACUUGGUCUAAUGUGACUCAACAGAAAAAACCAACCCAAGCAAGAUAUGAAAACGUGAGGUAAUUCAGUAAAUAAUCUCCCAAGGGAAAGAGAACCAAAAGUCAUUUCUGUAGAUUUUCUUUUUGACUGAGUACUGAAUACUGAAAAGUUACUUCCUGUCUUUACACCAGUGUAUCUCAAGUCUUAACAAUUAGUAUCUGAUCGGAAACAGAAACGAAAACAAUGGAAUAGGAGACAGAAAUGAGAUCACAGAAACAAUGAAAAGCAUGACCGAGCAACAGAACAGUCUAAAGGCUCUAAAGGAGAGCAAACAAACAUAACACCGUGAACAAAAUCAUUAAAAUCUUAUAGUACCUGUUCCAGCUCCAAGUACUAAUGAACUGAUGUCGUUGAAUUCUGACGAAGUAAGCAUUUUAUGCAGCACAAAGUCGGACAACAAUAGCUCAGCCUUCCAAACCUGAGAGUUUGAAACAAAGUUGAAUAAAACAGUCGAUUCAAGCAUCAGAAGAAGUACAGAAGAAAGCAUUUAACACCUGUAAACCAACGCCCUGUAUUGAUGAUGUGAUAUAAUGCUGGAUAGAGAGUUUAAUAAUCUGACCAGAACAAUCUGCACACUUAAAGACGAGCAAGAUCAUUCACUGAGUAGGGCUUAAAUCGUGAUUCCUAUUGCACUUUAUCCAGUGUAUUUCUAGCAAAAUCAACGCAGCGCAAUAGCUUGUAAAUAGAACGAUUAACCAGAAACAACAAGCAGUAGCAGUAUCCAAAUCAUUAAAAAGGAACAUUACCCUGGCAGUGGCUACGUCUAGUUAGAACAAGGUCACCAUCAUCAUCCACGCCAAUCACUUUCUCCAUGUGAGCUUGCUGAUUUUCCUUUAACAUUCCACUAAAUCUGCUGCUGUUCGCACCUGAAAAGGCAAAAGUUGUUGCCCUUCAACCUCAAAAUCAUCAUGAUUCUCCUUGCCGGCGACCCGUUCAAUAAAAUGCUCUAAAGAAUCUAUUUUUGAAAUAAACAAACAAUGAAGUAAAAAUAACUGAAGAUAAAAUUACCGGGAGGGAUGGAAAUUGUGAAAUGCAUAAUGUGUGGCCCUGACGAAUCAGAUAAACACCCACGAUGUAGCUCGCUUGUCACCUGCUCCUCCACCUCCUCCCCAAACUCCUGACAGCCGCCGUCAUCAUCCAUCCGCUCGUCAAACAUUCUCCGGCGCAUGAAUGUCGAGUAAAUAGCAUCGGAUGUCAUCAACUCUUAAUUUUGUUGCACAUAAAUCACUUUUAACUUUUAAAAUUUUCACCCGGUACCAUUUAACGCUACUUAUCGUUGCCCGUCUCAUUUUCCGUCCAAUUUAUGAAUGAACAUCCAACUUCGGUUGCCGACUCAGCAAACUCGCUGCCUAAGGCGAUGACUGGGCUAAUGAGUCGAUUAAAUCCCUCUAUUUUUCUCAAGCAUCUUUUCUCUCAUUAAUUAACAAUUUUUUUUUAAUUUAGUUCUUUAAAUAGGUCUUUAAAGAUAUAUACCUGACCUGAAACACAAGCUACUAGUUAAGUUUUAAUUUUUUACUAUUACAAUAUUUUAGAUUUUUUAUAUCGUUAACGAGAUAAAUAAACGUGACUUACAAAUUAACAAACGGAUAAGUAGCAUUCUACGCUCAUAAAACCUAGAUUAAUUAAAGGCUAUCAAGCUUCUAAGGGCUGUCACUUGUUAUACUAAUGUAGCUUCUUCUUCUUAAGUUUAUUUUAGUUGGAAGUUGCUUGCCAUUCAUCUCUUUGCUAAUAAUACGUAGAAUCUUCUUUCUGUGUAUAUUAAUAUGUAUGCAUGUGUACAGUAUUGAGUAACAGUAAUACCACAAUAAAAACUAGGUGACCUCUCCUACUAUUCCCAACUUACAUAAGAUCCGACAGGUUAUAAGAGAUGCUUUACUUCUUUUCCAUCCCUUGUAGUACAAGGAAGCCAAGCUUCUUCAGCAUUCUUCCUUCGUCCAGGGUCUUCUGCAAUUUUUCUUUCAUUUACCCAGGAAAGCUGCAACCCUAGCAGCCAAUGAAUCAUAAUCCGGUAGGUUAGGAUGCACAUGUCCCGACUGACAACUUCGACUCUGCUGUUAGAGACCUACCAUGUCUUGUUACAAUGGCUGCACUAGUCUUGCCUAGGGAACCAAAAGGUGGUGCUGGUGCAGAUCCAGUGUCCAAUUCUUCCUUACCACUCUCAUGAUCUCUUGAUCUCCAUGACAGAGGUUUCAUCUUAUAACUUCUCACGAUGUGUCUUUCAUAUUGUUCUCUCUUCUUGUUUUUCAGCUCUUCAUCUUCCCCUUCUUCAUCAUCAGAUGCUUUCCAUAUCUCUGCAUCAAAACUGCCAAAAUAUGCACGCCCUGGAGCUGGCUUCAAUGGACUAAUCUCAUCACCCACCACUACCUUCAUUUGUUGCCUUCUUCUUACCGAUCGUGGCUUUGGUUGUGAUUCACUGCCAGAUUCAGCAGUAUCAGGAGAGCUCAAAUUCGAAGUACUUUGGUCCUUCACAUCCUGCUUGUCCAGCCUUGUUCUGACGUAGGGCGGAGGUAGAAACCUAUAGGGGAUCUUGAUGUUGUCCACUUCAUCCUUUGAAGCACUACUAGUACUAGUAGUUCCCAUUGAGCUUGGACUAGGUUGUGAACUAUCUCGAUCUGCGCUCUCAGUACCCCCGCUGCUAUUUUGAAGCCUGUGCUUUUCAUCACUUACAUUAUUCUUCCUUCUUGGUGAUGAAGCAACUUCUGUUUCAGUACUUCUGCCCAACAAGUUCUCAGCUGAUGAUGUACUGUGGCUUUCCCUUUUACCAUACUUAUUGAAUCUGUUGUGUUUACUACUUAGAGCAACAACAUCAUCUUUGCUCUUCAUUCUUUUAUCAUCACCGUCUUCAGGAUGGUUAGAUCCCUCUUUUCUGUUCUGGUUCUGCAAAAGAAACAGAUAAUCCUUUGUGACGUUGCAAUCAGGUAAGUCUCGGGGGCUGCUGACCUUCAGUCCCGAUACUUAUUUAAGCAGAUCAGAGGUGUUACAAAAGGACAUCGAGGAGUUCGCUCCCCAAAAUUCAAACCUGGGAUCUCCAAGCUGAAAACCAGCAGAACUACUACCUCGGACACACCUCAUGAAAGGAAAUAAUUAAGGGUGUAAAAAAUAGUAAGUACCUGCUGCUGGAUGGAAUGGGGAGGUUGCUCCAAGGAUUUGGGAUCCCAGUUGAUGGAGAAUUCUUGAGCCACAUCACCAAGUAGCUGAAGCUUCAUCUCCUUUGUUGCAAGCCUUUGAUUCAGCAACUCACCAAACUGCAUGCAUCAUUAGCCAUUCAGUGCAGAAUCACUAAUAAUUUGACAAACACUUCGACAAAAAUUAGGAGGGUAGACAAAAAGAGACCUCCUUGUUAAUAUACAAUUCAAGGCAAUCACCAUAUCUAUGAGCGAAAAGGGAUCGAAGGUCGCGAAGUUCUGGGAACGCAGCCAAUCUUGCUGCAGCAUACAUCAGAGAAUGUAUGGCUUCUCUGCAUUCCUUGGGGCAUUCCCUUAACCAUAUAGUAGAAAAAUUGAAAUAAUUAAGAACAAAGAAAAAACAACUGGAACCCGCAAAAGCAAAAUCGGAAUGCAUACUUUCGUUUGUCCAAGAGAGCAAGAUUGGUGGAAAUGCAGUCACAAAAAUCUUCCAGAAACUUGUAAGCAGCAAUCGAGUUAUGCUCGAAUAUGAGCUCUUGAGUCUGCACAUCAAACCAAAUCCGUAACAUGAUUGAAAACAAGAAUGAAAGAAGGAAAGAAAAAAUAUUUACCCUGCUAUAAGCAUUGGAAUCAAAGCCAGUCCUGAGAAGGUCAGCGAUAUCAUUCUUAAGGUAUUUGGCCACAACGUUCUUCUUCUUCUUCUUCGACGCAUCCAGCCUUGCCUUGGUCAUCUUUAUCAGUGACUUGCUGCAUAAGAAUUGUUUUUACACGAUUGAUUAGUUGCAGAGAAACAGAGAGCUUGUAAGAAGAACACCCUCAUGAAAAACAAACCAUUUUGUGUAGAAUUUCGACUUGGUCAAGCUAUCAAACAUUACCCUGGAAAGGGAUCUACAAAUAGGGGAAAAGGGUUAUUUGGGUUUUUCUCUUAUAUGUGUGUAAUGUAUAUAUAGUUACCGGGAACUGAUUGAAGAUGGAGAAAGAAAGAAAUGAAAGCAAGCUGUCAACUGAACAAGAAGAAGAAAAGGUAGGUUGCAUUAAACAAAACGAAGAAACUAACCCAACGGAAGGGAGAAACAACGAUUCUGAUUCCAUAAAUACAACCACAAGGUUGGAAAAAGGAUCAAGAAGCAGAAAUGCCAGCUCGUCGGGCGGAAGCUCAGCAGACAACAUUCUUAGUUAAGAAAAUUAGAUUGGUUGGAAAUGAAAUUGGCGCGCUUGUACUCCAUCAAAAACUUCUUUUAUUCUGAGAUAGUUGGGACUAAUAAGUCUAUAUAUAAGAGAGAAAAAUUAUAAAUAUUCAUAUGUGUUUAUUUUGUCAAGUGUGUUGGAUUCGAAUUUGGGACUUUUCAUAUUACCAAAUAUAUAAUUUUAUUAUCAGAGCUACUUCACUUAAACCACUCUACAAAAAGUCGUAUGAUCUUGAGUUUUAGUUUGAGUGUGGGGUUUUCGGGUGGUUUGAUAAUAUGGUGAAAUCUAUGGAUAUGAAUUGUAAGUAUCCGGAUUAACUGCGUAAUUUAUUAAUAUUCACCCAUAAUAACUUUAUUUAACUAAAAUUGGAUGAGUAUUAUGGGUGGAUGCGGAUUAAUUAGCAUGUGACCCACACAAAAGUGAAUAUAUUGGUUUAGGUGGUGGAGUAACAUGUGAACGACAAUAAAUUANNNNNNNNNNNNNNNNNNNNNNNNNNNNNNNNNNNNNNNNNNNNNNNNNNNNNNNNNNNNNNNNNNNNNNNNNNNNNNNNNNNNNNNNNNNNNNNNNNNNNNNNNNNNNNNNNNNNNNNNNNNNNNNNAGUAUCUAAUUUUGCUUUUUGUAGUUUCAGACCUCCUGUCAAUCGGUUUGGCAGUUGACAACAACUCAUUUAAGCUUCCAUUACUUAAAAUUAACCAAGUAAUUAAAGCAAUUUAUAUUCACCAACGUCAAGCCCCCAAGGGGGAGUAAACCAGUUAAGUGAUAGAAAUUUUUAUAUUUUACUAUAUUUAUUAAUUAGUUUAAUUUCAUCUUAGAUUAUGUAUAUCUCAAAAAUGAUUUGACAAUUUUUAAUUAUCACAUUACUAAUUUUAACAAUUGACUUUUUAAAUAAUUUUUAAUCACUUAAAACCCUAAAAUAUUCUAACAAUUUCUUAUAUUUAGAAAAAUAUUUCAAUAUACUUAUGUGUCAUGACUAACAUAAAAGUUAUUUCUUAGAAAAUUGGUCUAUAUUUUAUGUGGCAUUAUUAGUGGAAUUGCUAAUUUAGCAAUCUUGUUAAUUAGCAAUCACUCUUACAUCCCUAACACUUGCUAAUAGAGGUGUCACAUCACCCUCCACAUCACUUAACAAUUGCUAAAAACCUAAGAAUGUACAUACUCUAAUAAUUUUUUCGUAGUGAUGAUUAUAAUUUUGUUAUGACUCAAAGCGCUUGUAACCUAAAAUGACUCGUAAAUGGAUGCAACUCCCCCAAAUUAACCCUACUGACCCGAAUUGCAAGGUCUAGUCGGUCGAGUUUGAAUUCGAGCAUAGAUCAAUUAACCAAUGGUUAACAUUCCUGAUGUGCUUUAUUUCGGUUAAGUGAUUGGCAGCUUCCUUCAACACAUACAAAAGAACCCCAGUUUGCCCCAUUCUCGGCCUGGAUCUAGAGAGGAGAUAGAGGACCAACUGGAGCACGAAUUUCUUCUCCCUAGUCUAUUUUUCUUCCUUCGCUGUUCUUCAUGUCUUCUCCAGUCUCUAUUUCACUCCGUUUAUCUUAUUGAUCUCCCACUCUUCUCGUCUAGAUUAUUGGCUUUGAUCUCCCUUUUCUCUACCUCACUCGUUUUAUUAUAGUCUCGAUCUCUUUUUCUGCCGACUAGAUCUGGGGUGAGCUCUUUGCCCUUUCUCCGUAAAUCUUUAGUUUCCAGAUUCCCUUGGAUAUUCCCGUUUAUUGGACUCGGCUUGUACUGCUUCGCCGAUUAUGCGAGCUCAUUGCUCAAUUUGUUAGCUGAAGAAUUCGGGCAUGAAUUCUCGAUUUCCGGGCGACGGAAGAUGCGAUUAAAGGCGUUUCUCCCGUUCUGAAUCUGAGAAUUGGCGUGCAUUCAUCUAUUGCUGAUUUUCUCUCAUUCUUUAGACGUAGGUUUAUAUACCGAUCUUAAUUGUGAUUUGAUCUAUCUGACGAGAGCUGGUAUUUGUGUACUGUUGUCUAUUUCCUUUGACAGGGCAAGAAGAUGCUUACGAAAUUUGAGACCAAGAGUAAUAGGGUUAAGGGACUGAGUUUCCAUAGCAAAAGGCCAUGGAUCUUAGCCAGUCUUCACAGUGGUGUGAUCCAGCUAUGGGACUACCGAAUGGGGACAUUAAUUGACCGGUUUGAUGAGCAUGAUGGACCAGUCCGAGGAGUUGAUUUCCACAAAUCUCAGCCUCUCUUUGUCUCCGGAGGUAAUCUUUUCUUUUCUGUUAAACUCGUUAAAUUUGGUGUCUUAAGUUAUUGCUAAUCUUAGUUAAUGUGCACAUGGAUCUAUGUAUUGGAGUCGUGCUCCCCUUCACAUGUUGAAGAGUAAGUCAAAUUACUAGCCUGCAUAUGAUAUUUUUGGCCGAAGAUUAGGCAUCUUAGUUACUCUCUUAGUUAUAGAGUUCUUGAUUUUUUGUACUAGAACUUAUAAGAUCUUGCUUUUACAUGUGAAUAAUUUUCCUUUCCCGUUGCAUUUCUACCUAUCUACGUGAUCUAUUCAUGCUAUUUAUCUUUUGGAGAAGUCUAGUUAACGUCUUGUUUUUUAUAUACAUUGCAGUUGUAGCCUUGUUCCCGUCCCUCUAUUCUUGACAUAAUGCAUGUCUUUGCAAUUGAUUCCCUCCCAGGUGAUGAUUACAAGAUUAAAGUAUGGAACUAUAAGUUGCAUAGAUGCCUCUUCACACUUCUGGGUCACCUUGAUUACAUCCGUACGGUGCAGUUUCACCAUGAAAACCCAUGGAUUGUGAGUGCCAGUGAUGACCAAACUAUCCGCAUUUGGAACUGGCAGUCACGUACUUGCAUCUCUGUACUGACUGGCCAUAAUCAUUAUGUUAUGUGUGCCUCAUUCCAUCCAAAAGAAGAUCUUGUUGUGUCAGCUUCUCUGGACCAGACUGUCCGUGUUUGGGACACUAGUGCACUGAGAAAGAAGUCUGUCUCUCCUGCUGAUGAUAUCAUGCGUCUUAGUCAGUUAAAUGGAGAUCUUUUUGGUGGUGUUGAUGCAGUUGUUAAGUAUGUAUUGGAAGGUCAUGACCGUGGAGUAAACUGGGCUUCGUUCCAUCCCACACUUCCUUUGAUUGUCUCCGGUGCUGAUGAUCGUCAAGUGAAGUUGUGGCGUAUGAAUGGUACGUUGUGUUGUUGAUAGCUGCAUAUAACAUGUAUACAUGUUAAGUAUAUGUCUUUAGUUGAUCAGUAUAUAUCUAUCAGUUUUUGGCUGUUUAAUUCCAGUAACAUUUGUUUAAUUACUUACUCCAUAUACACCAUAUAUCAUGCUCUAUUAUUAUGUAUGAUUAGUAGUUUUAUUAACAUACAACUUGAAUUAGGUGAUAUUUUCUCUCCAUCGUGGAAACAUUGUGUAUUGAUCAUUAAGAUAUUAUCAACACACUAUAAAUUUUUUGAAAAAGUUCCCUUAUAUGUUUUUCUUAUUUUCCAACCUAUUGGGUCAAACAUGGAGUAGGCAAACUUAACAUAUAAGAGGCAAGAGGGCAUAUGCUGAAGUAAACUACAUAAAUUCUUGUGUACCAGUAAACAUACAUCCAUAAUUUUAAGGUGAAAAUUCCAUGAAUACCUGGCCACAGUAAAAGCGUUGUUUAGCAUGUUAAAUAUAUUUCUUCAAUAGAGUAUUUAUGUAAACUAUUUGUUUAUCGAGGUCUAUGUCAUGUUUCAGAAUUUUUUGCCUUACAACUUCCUCUAUAAGUAGCAAUAAUUUUCUUUUGUUUCAGAUACAAAGGCUUGGGAAGUGGACACUUUGAGAGGGCACAUGAACAAUGUUUCAUGUGUCAUGUUUCAUGCUAAGCAAGACAUAAUUGUGUCUAAUUCAGAGGAUAAGAGUAUUCGAGUUUGGGAUGUAACCAAGAGAACUGGGCUUCAAACUUUCCGUCGUGAGCAUGACCGGUUCUGGAUCCUUGCAGCUCAUCCCGAAAUCAAUCUUCUUGCUGCUGGUCAUGAUAAUGGGGUGAUUGUGUUUAAGUUAGAGAGAGAAAGGCCUGCAUUUGCUGUGAGCGGAGACUCUCUGUUUUUCACAAAGGACAGGUUUCUGCGGUACUUUGAGUACUCUAGUCAGAAGGAAAACCAGGUGAUUCCCAUCAGGCGACCUGGUAGUACUAGUCUGAAUCAGAGUCCAAGAACUGUUUCUUACAGCCCUACAGAAAAUGCAGUUCUGUUGUGUUCAGACAUUGAUGGGGGAUCAUAUGAGCUCUAUAUCAUUCAAAAAGAUAGUAUUUCAAGGGGUGAUACUGUACAAGAAGCAAAGAAAGGGGCAGGGGGUUCAGCUGUCUUCAUAGCUCGAAAUAGGUUCGCUGUGCUUGACAAAAGCAGCAAUCAAGUGUUGGUCAAGAACCUAAAGAAUGAGGUUGUCAAAAAGAGUGGUCUUCCCAUUGUUACAGAUGCAAUAUUUUAUGCUGGGACUGGUAAUGUGUUGUGUAGAGCCGAGGAUAGAGUCGUUAUUUUUGAUCUUCAACAGAGACUUGUACUCGGGGAUCUUUCAACACCUUUUGUGAAGUAUGUUGUCUGGUCUAAUGAUAUGGAGACUGUCGCCUUACUGAGCAAGCAUGCCAUUAUCAUAGGAAACAAGAAGCUUGUGCAUCAGUGCACUCUUCAUGAGACAAUCCGUGUUAAAAGUGGAGCCUGGGAUGACAAUGGCAUUUUCAUAUAUUCUACUUUAAAUCACAUGAAGUAUUGUCUUCCGAAUGGAGAUAGUGGUAUAAUCAGAACCCUUGAUGUCCCAAUAUACAUUACUAAGGUUUCUGGCAACACAAUCUUUUGCCUGGAUAGAGAAGGAAAAAAUAGAAGUAUUGUCAUUGAUCCCACAGAAUAUAUGUUCAAACUUUCUCUUUUGAAGAAGAGAUAUGAUCAUGUUAUGAGCAUGAUUAGGAACUCACAGCUGUGUGGGCAGGCUAUGAUUGCAUAUUUGCAACAGAAGGGAUUCCCAGAAGUUGCUUUGCAUUUUGUCAAGGAUGAAAGAACUAGAUUUAAUUUGGCUCUGGAGAGUGGGAACAUACAGAUUGCUGUUGCUUCAGCUAAGGAAAUCGAUGAGAAAGAUCAUUGGUACAGGCUAGGGGUGGAAGCUCUUCGGCAAGGGAAUGCAGGUAUUGUGGAGUAUGCCUAUCAGAGAACACAAAAUUUCGAGAGGUUAUCUUUCUUGUAUCUGAUUACUGGUAAUCUAGACAAGUUGUCGAAGAUGUUGAAAAUUGCGGAGGUUAAGGGUGAUGUCAUGGGCCAGUUUCACAAUGCCCUCUAUUUGGGUGACAUUCAGGAGCGUGUUAAAAUGUUGGAGACUGCUGGACAAAUACCCCUGGCAUACAUCACAGCUAAAGUACAUGGUUUGGUGGACGUAGUGGAUCGCCUAGCGGCUGAUUUAGGAGAUGAUAUUCCAUCUUUGCCCGAGGGUAAAGUUCCAUCUCUUCUGAUGCCUCCGACCCCGAUCAUGUGUUCUGACUUAGAUCUGCCUCAAGAAGCAGAUACACCCAAGGCUUCCGUCAGAAGUUCAGUUUUUGUGGCUCCAACUCCCGGCAUGCCUGUGAGUCACAUAUGGACUCAAAGGUCAUCACUUGCUGCCGAACAUGUCGCAGCUGGGAAUUUCGAUACUGCUAUGAGAUUGCUCCAUAGGCAACUUGGAAUUAAGAAUUUUACUCCGCUGAAAUCUAUGUUCCUCGAUCUUCAUACAGGAAGCCAGUCUUAUUUGCGCGCAAUGUCAGCCACUUCGGUGAUAGCACUGGCAGUCGAAAGAUGGAAUGAGUCUGCGAGCCCCAAUGUGAGAGGUGCUCCAUCGCUGAUAUUCAGCUUUGGUCAGUUGGAAGAAAAGCUAAAGGCUGGUUACAAAGCCACCACGGUUGGGAAAAUUACAGAGGCGCUUAACAACUUUGUCAGCAUUCUUCACACAAUCCCUCUGAUAGUUGUGGAGUCGAGAAGAGAGGUUGAUGAAGUUAAAGAGUUGGUAAUCAUAGUGAAGGAGUACGUUGUGGGGCUACAGAUGGAACUGAAGAGGAGGGAAAUAAAAGACGAACCAGUUCGUCAACAGGAGCUUGCAGCCUACUUCACACAUUGCAACCUUCAAACCCCUCACUUAAGAUUAGCGUUGCUGAAUGCAAUGUCAGUCUGUUACAAGGGAAAGAACUAUGCUACAGCUGGUAACUUUGCCAGGCGUCUACUGGAAACAAACCCACAGAAUCAGGAGCAUGCGAAGAAGGCAAGACAAGUGCUGCAGGCUUCAGAGAAGAAUAUGACUGAUGCUACAGAACUGAAGUACGAUUACAGGAAUCCGUUUGUAGUUUGCGGGGCUACUUACGUCCCGAUAUAUCGGGGGCAAAAGGAUGUGUCUUGCCCAUACUGUUCAGCUCGGUUUGUGCCGGAGCAGCAGGGGGAAAUAUGCCGAGUGUGCGAUCUUGCAGUUGUUGGUGCAGAUGCUUCAGGUCUGAUCUGUUCAUCUGCCCAGAUACGAUAGAGUUUGAAGAUGCUGUGUUUUUGUUAGGCCAGCCCUGGAUUUGUGAGAGGCAGAGAUGGGAUUAAAACUAUUUUACUGAAUUAAUUAUUUUUCUACCCUUUUUAUUUUGCUCUUUUUAAGUAUCUGUCGGGUUAGAGGAGUUGCAUGUAAUAAAUAAAACUGAAGUUUGAUAGUUUUGAUUGAAGUAACACAUUAUUUUUCGUUGCUGGGUUGAUGAUCAUUUCUUAAUUCUCAUGGGGAAUCAAACGAAGUUGGGACGGUACAUCACAAUGCCACUCUGGAGAGUCGGUUCCUGUAACAGGCUCCAAAUGGAAACGCGAUAGUCUAGCAAGCGUAUGGCCGACACAAUUUCUACCUCUCCUCACAAAAUAAAUUUCGAAACCACUAUGUCGUGUCGUGCAUCCCUGAACAAAUCCUCUCACGUCUCAGAUUUUACUUGGUCCAUCAGAGGUGCCAUCAUCGAAGAACUUCGAAUCACUUUGAUUAAUUUCAGGACUCUCUAUUUUAGUAUAAUAGCUAGUAUAUCACUUGAUUCUCUUAGCAACUUUCAGCAAAAUGUCUGCACCAUCGAUCAUGGCAUCAUCGAGCUCUUUAAUCCACGGCUUGGGUGGCGAACCCGCACUCUCCAACGCCUCGCUGCACUUUUUAAAAUGUGAAACGACCUUGGUUAGCAUGGACGUGACCUUUUUGACAUGCUUCGACUUGCACUUCUUGUCCUUGCUAGAACUGGCUUCUUUCUCGCAAUCGCGGCAGGCAUUUCCGGCAGCUUCCAAGCUGCUGACGGCCUUGUCAUAGUUCUGGAUGCAAGUGUCGAGGCUCUCCUUCAUUUUAUCAGGUGUGGAAGGGUUCCUAAGCUCGUCCUUGGACGAAAUGUAGGUGCCUUCUUCUACAAGGCUCUUCAAUACACCAAGGUUGAACUUGACCAUGUGGGUUGGGUCCGCUUCGGGGCUAUUCGCCAAAAAUUUUUGGCACUUGGUUGGCUUCUCCAUCGAGGCACAUAUCUCUUUCACGGCUGCUGAUGCAUUUUCGACCCUAUUAGAGUUUGUUGAUUACAACUAACAUAUGAAUCUAAUACUAGAAUAGAUCAUCCUUAAAAAUAACUAGUAGUAAACAAACAUUUGUAGGAGAUAGAGGUUUGACGAUUAAUUACUUUGAAUCUUCACUGCCGGAUUUAGACGAUGAUGAUGAAGAGGAGCCACUUGAUGAGUCUGCAAGUGUUGAAACUGGAAAAAAACAUGAAAUUGUUAACAUUAGAAAUACUCCUCUUGAUGAAAUCUUCUUAGUCGUCGUCAUCAUCCUAAUCUCUGUUCUCUCUUCUGGUUGUUCCUCAUUAUUCUUUCGUAAAUUUAAAUAAAAUAGUUAACAACGUGGAGUGAUUCUGUUCCUACUUUUAACUUUUUAUUCUAAUCCAUAAGCUUAAUUAAGUUACACUUGAAACAGUCAAAAGAAAAUUACGGAUGCCCAAAAAUAGAAGGAAACUAAGAAUAGAAAAAAUUCAAGAUCGCCACACAUCCAUUAAUUAGUUUUAUUUAGGCCUAUAAAAUGAUAGUACGAAGUAGAAGAUAGAACACAAACAAGAACAGAAACAAAAACACAAACAAGAACAGAAACAAAAACAGAAGCAGAGAUAAGAAUGAUGAUGACGACGACGAAGAAGAAUUCAUUAAGAGGAGUAUUUCUCAUCAUGAUGAUGGUGAUGUUAAUUUUCUCAUGUGUUGUUCCGAUUUCAGCUGCUGAGAAAGAAGAAAAAGCUGACUCACCAAGCGAAUCCUCCUCAUCUAAAUCUAAAUCCGACAAGAAAGAUUCAAAGUAACUAAUGUUUGUUUUUAAGGAUGAACAAACGAUUCUAGUACUAGAUUCAUAUGAUUUUAUGUGUAAUAAUAACCAAACUUGAACAGGGACGAGGAUGCAUCAGCAGCAGUGAAGGAGAUAUGUAAGGCGAUGGUGAAGCCAACCGAGUGCGAAGCAUUUUUGGCGAAUAGCCCGAAAGCGGACCCAACCCACAUGGUCAAGUUCAACCUUCGUGUCUUGAAGACCCUCGUCGAGGAAGGCACAUACAUUUCGACCAAGGACCAGUUCAAGAACCCUUCCACGCCCGAAAAAAUGAAGAAGAGCCUUGAGACUUGCGUUAAGAACUACAACAAGACGAUCGAUGCCUUGGACGCUGCAGCAGAUGCAUGCCGCGAUUGCGAGGAAGAAGCGAGUUCUGACAAGAAGAAGAAGUGCAAGCCGGAGCAUGUUGAAACGGUUACCUCAUCACUAAAGGAAGCAGUUAAAAACUUCAAAAAAUGCACCGCAGCAUUAGAGGAUGCGGGUACCCCACCCAAGCCGUGGAUUAAGUCGCUCAAUGAAGCCAUGAUUGAUGGUGCGCUCUUUUUGUCCCAAAUUGCCUCCAAAAUUAAGUGAGAUUUCUAUUAUAUACUUCAGAAAAGGAUUUGAUUUUCCUACAAAAAAAUCCUUAAUUGAGAGAUUUUAAGAAUAAUAUAUAUAAAUGUAUUAUCUAAAUACAUGGUCGUAAUGACCACCUAAUAAUCAAUUGUAGCUAGUUAUGUAUCGACAAUGAGCCAAAUUCAGUGCUCGAUUCUAAUAAUAUGAGUAUGACACAACAUUAAUAAUAAUGUUUCAUUUUUAUUGUGUUUAGUUAUUCAGUUUGUUAAUAAUAGUAUGUGAUGUGUCAUGUCUCCCCUUCUUAUUCUACUAGUUAAACGUGGUAUUAGUUCUAUUAAAUUUAACUUAAGGUGAGGAUUUUGGUGUACCGAAUAUUCUCACUUGUUUGAAUCGAUUUGGGUUGCUUAAUUUGUUAAAAACAAUCUUAAUGGUCAAUAAUUAAUCAAUUUUUAAAUUUAAAACAUUUCAAAAUUUGAAUAACAAAAUGAUCAUCCUACUCAAUCCUACAACUUCAAAUCUUUGACUUAUUUUUAUUUUAUUAUAUCAAAGUUUAAUCCUGAUAAAUUCACCGCUCAUCAUAACCUAACUCAUAAUUCUUCAACGUUUAUAGUUGUCAAAUUAAUUUUGUCGUGACCAAGAAUUCAACCAAUCCAUAGAAUAAUUCUUUUUGUUGCUUAUUUGUCAAUUUUAGCAAAUACAUAUGUUUAUGGUGCCUACUAUUGUGUAUAUAGGCUACAUUUAGGUCAGAGAGACAAAAAAUCAUUAAGAGGGAAAAAAUAAUUAGGAAUAUAACAAGGUAUUUUUGAAUAAUGAAUUUCAUUUCAUAAUGAUCGAGGUACAAACGAGAGUUUAAAAAUAAUUCGUAUUUCAAUUGUCACAUCUAACCAAUUAUUUGGAUUAGAAUGGCUACACGUUGUUUUUGCCACCAUAUCUGUAAUGUGAUUAUUACGUUGGGAUGUAAAGGCAACUUUGAUCCAUAAAUAGGAUGUAUGGGUCGACAAUAAUAAGGCACAUCAUUCUCACGGCGGCAGGAGGUUGUAGUUGUUGAUAAUGUUGACUAGAGUGAUGCAGUCGAAAAAGAUUGUUGAAGGAUCAUUGAACCUAGCCGCAAGUCUGACUGUCUCAAGAAGUGCUCCCGCUUCGGCUAUGAUUGAGGAUGAGCAGAAAAAGAUCUCAUUCCGGUCGUCGUAGAUUUACGGAUUAUGUCUUGAUUCAGUGAGUUAUUCAAUUAUGAUUCAGUUGGCGUUCUUAAUCUGAAUAAUGACAAUUAGGGUUCUUAUUCUGAUUUAUACAAUACGUAUAUUCUUAAUUACUCCCGGAUUUUGCAUCGUUAAACCGACAGACACGUCGUCUUCCCGUAUUCCCAAGUUUCCUCCAUUUUUCUCAUUAGUAGUUGCCUGCUUGGUAAUGAAGAUCUUCACAGUAGAGUUACUCUUUCAUUCUUCUGGUCUGGAACUUUUCAUCGAGGAGUAGGGUUCCACUCAGAGAUUUGCAUCAAAGAAGAUGAGGCUGAUGUAGAUGGAUUUCUUUGCAGACAUUGACGAGCAAUGGUCAAUGGGGGCGAUGGACGUGGACAACGUAGAUCCGGUCGAGAUCUUCGACGAAUGCAUGAUGAACGAUUGAAAGCUCGUAGACAACGAUUUCUUCAACAAAUUCGAUGAUGAUUUCGAUGAUUUCUUCAACAGAAGCCAAGCUGCACGGGUGCUUUGCGGGUCUUUGUGGGAUCGUACAUCCCUUGUUUUGAAAUGGUUGUCUUGGUGGGCUCUGUUAUUGUCUCCUACUGCAUGCAUUUCUCUGGUGUUUCUGUAGUUCCUACGAUUCUCCGCAAUUUUUGGUUCCCUGUUGCGUUUUGUAAAGCUUAGAGUUUUGGUUUAGAUUUAUGUGUAUUUGUACAUAUUAUUUUGCUGGGUUUCGCUUUGAGACCACAGUUCAUUGUUAUGAGUUCUCUUAAAUAGGACUUGUAAAUGUGCAGGAUGAAUUGACAAAUACCAAAUACAACCUUACGCUUCUUCCCAUCUUGACCUUUCUGAAUAUCCACUGCUCUAUGAAAUGGAAAAAAGGAAUUUCAAGGUAAAGAAAAAAUCUUCACCUUUAACAACCAAAGGUGGUCAUCAUCCUUCUAAUCCCUAAAUUUUGGCUUAAAUUACAUUGAAAAGGUCAGAGAGAAAUUAAUGAUGCCCAAAAAUAGAAUACAAAAAUUAAGGAUUGCCAUACACGGUUAACUAUUUUGGCCUAUAAAAGAAUAACAUAAUAAGUAGACUACAGAACACACACCAGAAAAAAGAAAAAAUUGCAGAAGCAGAGAUAACAAUGAUGAUGAUGACGACGAAGAAAAGUUCAUUAAGAGGAGUAUUUCUCAUAAUGAUGGUGACGAUGUUAAUUUUCUCAUGUGUUGUUCCAAUUUCAGCAGCUGAGAAAAAAGAAGAAGCUGACUCACCAAGUGAAUCCUCCUCAUCUAAGUCUAAAUCCGAUAAGAAAGAUUCAAAGUAAUUAGUGUUUGUUUUAAGGAUGAACAAACGAUUCUAGUACUAGAUUCAUAUGAUUUUAUGUGCAAUAAUAACCAAACUUGAACAGGGACGAGGAUGCAUCAGAAGCAGUGAAGGAGAUAUGUAAGGCGAUGGUGAAGCCAGCCGCGUGCGAAGAAUUUUUGGCGAAUAGCCCGAAAGCGGACCCAACCCACAUGGUCAAGUUCAACCUUCGUGUCUUGAAAACCCUUGUCGAGGAAGGCACAUACAUUUCGACCAAGGACCAGUUCAAGAACCCUUCCACGCCCGAAAAAAUGAAGAAGAGCCUUGAGACUUGCGUUAAGAACUACAACAAGACGAUCGAUGGUUUGGACGCUGCAGCAGAUGCAUGCCGCGAUUGCGAGGAAGAAGCGAGCUCUGGCAAGGAGAAGAAGUGCAAGCCGAAGCAUGUUGAAACGGUUACCUCAUCACUAAAGGAAGCAGUUAAAAACUUCAAAAAGUGCACCGCAGCAUUAGAGGAUGCGGGUACCCCACCCAAGCCGUGGAUU
rnacentral:lncRNA from 1 species